rnacentral:lncRNA from 1 species
AUCUGAGCACUUAAAUGAAACGACAUGAAGAGUACCUUAGUCUUCAUUCCAUCUUCCGAAAUCCACAGGUAAUCAUGAAUCCUUGGAAUAUGUUGCUUGAAUGAAUUUGAAUUGGGGUUUUCUAUCCAACAGCAAAUCAUAUUUAACACCUAGUCAUGGAUAAUAAAAUUAGUGAAAAAUACUAGAUAAUGGCUAUAUGGAUAAUAUAUUAUCAUGAUGGAAUGGGUAUUAAUAAAUAAAAUUAUAUCAACAUUUAUUAAAAAGGAAUCAUGAAGCAAAAUAUGUGAAAAAUAAAAGGACUGCAUCGAACAUUGGUUGAAGAAAGAAAAUGUAUAUUAAGUCAGAGAAGUCCAAUUCAAUUUCUGGUUUAGCGCCAAUCGGAGGGAAGAAAGAUAACUACUAGAAUAAGUUAUGCAUAAUUGGACUAAGGAAGAGGAAGCUAUUGCUCUGAAAGAAAAUGCCAGAAAUUUAUAUGCAAAUUAUUUCAAUAGCUUUGGUUUGGUAAACAUGCCAUCAUGAAGAAGCAAUGUUUUUGGUCUUGGGAGUGUCUUAACUAUUUUGAGACAACCAGUGUGUUGACUUUAUGCUAUAGAUUCUGGAUAACCCUUUAUAGUAUAUAAGCUUCUUUAUCAAAGAAGCUAUUAACCGAUUCUAGAAAUUGUGAAAAUAUUUUUACAUAUAUGUAUAUAACGAAAGUAUUACUGAUAUUAAUUUAUUUUCUAAUGUUCUUAUUUAUGAUCUGUAUAAGAAACAUAAAUCGCUAGACACAUAGUUAAUAUAUUAGUAUUUAUGUAUUCUUUUUUUUACAUCUGAAAGUAAGCAUAUUUUGACACACAAAUUUUGAUAGUACUGAUAGUUUUGCACAAUAUACAUGCAUAGAUACUUUCAGAAUUUUUAGUGAUGCACAAAAGGGUUUUCUCCUGAUGGGUGCAUAGGUGCAUAUAUGAGAGCUCUACAGGGAUUCCUAUAUAUUGCAACGAAUUUUGCGUGAAAAAUAUUAUAUCGUUGCAGAAAUAUGGUGCUAUCACUCGUGUAAGCAUGCAUUUCCUGGGGAUCCUAGUUUCUUCCAUGCAGCUAGAGGUAUGAUGUUUCGUGGUGGGGAAAAGAAAAGAUUACAUAGACAUACCUUGUUAAUAGGGCACAAACCAACAUAGUUGCUAUUUUCAUCUUCAUAAUGGAUAUGCUCCAUGAGGCUUAUUAGAGCUCUCUCUCCUAUCUUGGUAAAGGGCCAGCAACUUAACAUUGGUUCCACUAAUUUGUUUAAAAAAGCAAAAGCGAUGUUGUGCCCACGCGAAGUAGGGUAAGUAAGCUCCUCCUGUAAUGAUAAGCAAAUUAGUAUAUACUAUUCCUCUGAUCCUAAAUUGUUGUCGCUGUUUUAGUUCAAAUUUGUACUAAAACAACCACAACAAUUUAGGAUCGGAGGGAGUAUAUAGAUACAUUGUUACGAUACAAAAAUUGAGGAAAUUCCAUACUGCUUUUAUAUAUAUAUAUAUAUAUAUAUAUAUAUAUAUAUAUAUAUAUAUAUAUAUAUAUAUAUAUAUAUAUAUGUAUAAGAAUAGCUAUCCAAUCAAAUUUUCAUGUGCAAUCUCAGUGAUCAAGCUAAGAUAACCUCACGUUUUAUUCACACAAUAUAUUGGACAUUGAUGAAUUUCUUUCAUAUUAGCAAUACAAUAUGUGAAGCCAAAUUCUUAGAAGCUACAAAUGAUGCGUACAUCCGCUCUUUCUUAAAGGAAACAUCACAGCUAUUUUUGCAUUUUACAAAUCAUGUUGCUUUUCCAGUGAGUUAUCUAUUAUUUUAGCCAAGAAUAAUAUUCCCUCCGUCCACGAAAAGAUGUCUCAAGUUUGUCCAAAUUUGGAUGUAUCUAGACAUGACUUAGUGUAUAGGUGCAUUCAAAUUUAGUCAAAGUUUAGACAUCCUUUGUUGGACGGAGGAAGUACUACAAAUAUUGGAGGUUCGAAAUUUAUAUCUGUCAACGACACAUACCAUCUUAGUCACUAUCUACUAACAAAGACCAAAAGAUUAAUUGAAGUUGGAUCCAAAACGGCACAACUUUGCAUUAUGUGAUACGCACAAAAUCCCCCUUUGCAUGUAUAUUUAGUAGGCUACCAAUUUAACAGGUUUAUUUUAUUGUAUCAUGCAUGUAGCAAUAUAAGAGUCUGAGCUUAUAUGGAUACAAAUGGAAAAUAGCAGACCUUUGCACAAGAACUGUGAGCCUUGUUCCAGUCGAUGUGACUGUACUCCUCUUUGUAGAGCUCAUCUCUUAUUGCCAAUAUAGUUGGACUGAUAGGCCCUACAAUUUUUUGUCCAUAAAUAUAUGCCAUCGGCAUAUAAACCAUCCGGCAGAAGCACCAAAAUUUUCCUACAAAUAAAAAGAAAUAUAUUGUAUUAAUCUUGUAGUGUAGAAAAUAACCGGUUCCUUGGAGAAAAUGCAAAGUAGUAAUAUAUAUAUGAGUACUGACAUAACAAUAACAGGAUAGCUUAGCUUGGAAAAAUUACCCUUUGAUAUUUCAGAUGUACCAUACAGCUAUUGUGAUUAGCUAAGCAAUUACCUGGAUGAAUUGGGAGAAAUUGUGGAAGAAUCCAAAGCUCCGGUAUAACUGGAUUAUUCCCAGACCAGUCGUACACUCCAAUUACCUUGGGUUGAAAGAAAGUUUAGUUUGUGAAACUUCAACAUAACACAUAAUAGAUGGAUCAUAUAUUAAAAAAGAAACUCUCCAUUAUGCUGGCUACUGGCUCUGAGAUGUUAAUGGCAUUGACAAGUUGGGCCAUCCUAUUAGCUUUACUAGAUAUUAGAAAAGUGGGGAAGGGGUGACACUUUAAAAUGUUUUUGCCCCCAAAACUAUUUUAUUUGAAAAGAUCUCAAGUUCGGUUAUUUGUUCCGUACGCCAUAUUAGUUGGUGUGCUUGAAAUUUCUUGUUGGUGCUGCAAAAAUAUUGGAAAAACGGUCUAUGACAGAUAUUUUUAUAUAGUAAAUUUAAAUGAUUUUGAAUGUUUGACUACAAGCAUUCUGUAACAGCACUUAUAAAAGACUAGCUAAUAUGGUUGAUUAGGUAUUAAUUCUUACAUGGUAUUUAAUAGUAAAUAGUAUUAAACAUUAUAAAACCAAACCAGGAAGACAUAAAAAGAAACUCAGGUAAUUAGAAUGAUUUUAGAAAAUCCUGAACGCUUUGUCAUGGUAACAUGCAUAACUUAGUUCUUGAUUGGUUUGUUACGAUGCAUACCGAAAGCCAUAUCUUUGCCCAUUGCGGUGCUGCAGUCACACUUCCAUGAGAUAAAAUUCAAGCGCGCCCCUUGUGCAAGGCAUCAUUAUCAUGAAGCACCUCUCCGAGGAGUCUUAGUGUAGUAUAAUUUAGACACGAACCAAACAUGGAGCUCGGGCCCAAAAUAUGAGUGCUCCAACCACCGUCUUCAUUCUACAUGUAUUUUUUUCACAAAACAUUAUUUUUUUAAUAUAGAAAUCAUUAUUUAUUGCUUUUAAUAUAGAAAUCAUUAUUUAUUUCUUUUUAAUAUAGAAAUCAUUAUCCGAGAUUGUGAGAUCAUAUUCCCUGCCUGAAUAUUGUAAAUGUAUCGACAUAUCUCACGUAUAUGCUCUGGCGAUAACACAAUGCUGAGUGAUCCAGUGACAUGCAAAGCAAAUAUCUGAAAGUAAGAGAUACAACUUUGAUAAGUUAUGGUGAUGUAAGCAUUUAUAGAUAGUUACGAAAUACGUCUAGCUAGUUAUGGAUUCAAGUUAGGGUUCUCUGGUUUAUUUUAUUUGUCAUGUUGAUGUUAAUUAAUUUAAAAAAUGAACAGUUACAGAGUGCUAAAACGUACAUUACAUUUAUAUGCAUUUCAUGCCCUAUGAGGCUAUGACAUAACAUUUAAAUAAAGAGAUGGUUUACAUACUAUGAGAGGCAUAAUGAAUAAAAUCCCGCUGUAACCACCUGGCCAAUGUCCGUCAUGUGCUUGCAAAACAGAGUAUGCAUUGAGAGCUCCUCUUAAUGAAGUUAAUAUAGUUUCCUCUGUGACUUGUUCAUAAUCUUUAAGCUUGUUGACGGGAUGGUUUACUCCUGGUCGGUUUUUGCCCCCAUACUGCAUAAAUAAAUAAUUCUGUUUCAGAGGAGCUCUGAAUGUCUGCAAAUUAGCGUUAUAUAUACAGUACUAUAUAAACGUUCCUGCAGGCGCAUGAUGAGAUCCUCGGACUCCCUGGGCCUCUCGAAGCGAUGCUCGGUGAAGUCACGACGCAGGCGCUCCACAUGGGCGUGCUCCUCCGGCGUGCCGGCAUCAGCGUCGAACUCCCACACCUCCCUGCCCAAGAACUUGUUGUUCGAACGAAGCCACUCGCUCCCGCUCCCUCCCCCGACACCCACCUUUAGCCUCCACAUCCUGCUGCUGCGGAAUGCUGAUCAAUGUUCAAGCUAGUAUGCGAGAUGGUCAGCUCAAACUGAUCAAUGAUAUAUACCUGUGCAGUUCGUUACUCUCGCUACCUUGCUCAAGGUCCUCACAGGCUCUCUUUCUCUUCUUGGAUAUUAUGCAUGAGAUAUGUGCAUGGCUGGGUGAUCGUGGGAGACGGCUAGUUCAUUUAUAUACAAGAAGGACGUCCUGCUCCCAGCAGCUUUCCAAAGCCGUCAGUUUCUCUUUUAGGUGAACUGUCUGCUUCAAUAUUAAAGGUAAAUCCUGUGCUUCGAAUUGAUCGUAAGCUGUUGGUUGCCGGAGGUGUUAAUUUUUUUUCUCAGAUCAAAAGGCUUUUCGCCCUGCUCCGUUUCCAUAAACAAAGAAAAAAGUGUACGCAUAGAAUGCCCCUAACAGGUUCAGAACUUAAUAUAGAACAUCUUCUCCAGCUUAAUUGGGGAUUCUCAUUCUCCCAAGCUUUCCUCUUACAUCUGCUCCAGCAGUGGUAUCUGUCCAGCCGGGUAGAAAGGUAGCUAACACGCCUUAACACAAGCAAAACAACUUCUCCCAAACAAUCUGCAAACCAGACCACAUACUUCUGCAGCAGAGCAGAUGUAAUCAUAUUCAACACACCACGUGCUGGUUUGUGUCCAUUUUUUCUUCUAGUGUUGUUGUCGUACGUUUGUGGUGUAGUCUCUGUUGUACUAGGUAGAUUUUAUGGUUUAUGAUGUGGGUCUUUUAAUCAGAAGAAACGAAUAAUAUAUUAGGUGUCUUUUUGCGGUACAUUUUACUACCUAGGAAGGAGAUCACUAGUAUAAGUCUAAUCCCACCGUUGAUUUUUCAGAUUGCAUGUAAGUUUCAUUAAGUUUGCUUCGUUACCAAAAUACUCUAUGACUGUAAUUAAUGUACUCCCUCCAUCCAUAUUAUUUGUCGCAGAUUUAAUACGAAAUUUACAGAUAACGGAUGACCAUUAUUCUUGCAAUUCUUAGAAACAAGGGUCGUGCAAUUAAUGAAUUACUGCCAUUUGCAAAGCAUUUUGUUUGCUACAAUGAUUCAAGGCAUGUUCUAUUUCUCUUCUUUGUGUUUAAAAUUUGUGCAUUUUUAAUUUUAGAUAAACUCAUAUCGAGUACUGUUGCUAGUCAAAGUGCUAUUGUCAGUGUAACUGUUCUAUCAAGUACAGCACGGCUUGUAGAUGUGGCUAUAUAUUGCACGUUUAUUGAAAAAAAUACCAAGGACUUUUUUUUGAGAUGAAAAGUACCAAGGAAUUGAAAGAACUGGAUAGUGCAAGAAGGCAACAACAAGAAAAUGUACAUGUAUUUGCUGCAUGGUGAAACGAGAGAAGAGCAAGAGGAACUGCACAGGGGAGAAUGGAAGCUAUUGAGCAUGCUUAGAGUUGUUUUUCUUUGUUGCCCAUGAAGAAGUCAAAGAUGGCAGCUCCUGCGCUUCAGUCCUUUGCGUCGCCCUGCGUGGCUCGCUGAGCUUUCGUGCCAGCUUUAGAACUGAACCCUGAUUUUGUUUUGCCUGUGAUGGCCGAUGUUAACCUGCACUCUGAUGGGUGAUUUUGUUUUGCACUGUGAUGGGUGACCUGUAUGGAGUACUACAAUGUACUACUGUACCGUGUUACCCGAGAUGAUGUAGGGGUUGGGCAAGACAGAGAGCGACCACGGAGGCGAACAAUUUCAGAUUGUUUACUGCAAAGGCAGUGAAAACAGAGUAGCUCACCCAUUAUCUAGCCGGCCUCAUCUCGAGCCCACUGUGCUCGCUCUUUCAUCGAGCCAACCAGUUUGGACUGAGGACAUUGCUGCUUCAUAUCAGCGGAAGAAUGGUAUCAUUCUCUACGAUGGCAAAAUUUGGCUACCUCUUCACUCUGGCUUGCACAUGAAAAUUCUUAUGGCACUACUUCCCCCGUUUCAUUCUUGCUGAAAUAUUACAUGUAUCUAGACAUUUUUAAGGUAAUAUUUCGACAAGAAUUAUGAAACGAAGGGAGCAUGUUCUAGCCCAUAUCCGGAGGGCAUUCUGCUUUCCCUGUUACCUUGUGCCGUUAAGCAGUUAAAUGGAGCUGUUAAUUUUUUCUUUUCCAGGAAUGUUCCAUUUGCCAACAGUCCAAGCAAGAUAGGGCUCGUUACCCCGAGCUUGGCAGAUGGCCACAUUGGAUUUUAUCGAAGGCCUUCCUAGAUCAAAGCGUGUCAACUGUAUGUAUUCUCGUGGUAUACAAAUUCUCUCCCUAUGCUUUUUUGACUACUCAACUCCGGAUGAGUUCGUCCUACCACCCUCCGAUUGCUUUUGUGCCAGUGAAAUUGGUUCACUUGGCUUGGGGACUAGAUAUGCAAUCCAACCACCUAGGUUUAAGUCCUCAAGGAUACAAAUUUAGAUUUCCUUUUUUUUAGGAAAAUUUAGAUUUUCUGCUGAUACUUUACGGGUCUCUCGUACAAAAAAAACUUCAGAAAACAAACACGGGAGGACUCCUCACACGGGAAUAGGAAAACACACAUGAAUAGGAUUGAGUAUAAAGUAAAAAACUACAAAUUUUCAAAACAGAGUAACGAGAACAGAGGAUUGAAAACCAUAGGUCUAGUCUAAAGUUUUGUUUGCUUUGAAAAGUAUAGGAACCUUCGCUUUCCGAAGGAAUUGGUAUUGUUGUUUUCUUUGUUCCAAACACCCCUAAAGGAAAAAAAAUCCAUAGAAACCAAAUCUCAAAAAUUCCUUUACACUAUUCCCUUGUCCCAAACAGACCUUGAAAGUGCUCUCUUGAAUGUGGCUAUGUCUUGAUAAUAUUGCAUCCAACAGAGAACAAUGCUAUUCAUGUCCUUCCAUAGGCUUUAGUUCUCCGGCGAACCAUUUAUGAAUGAGUCAUCAGUAGUUACUACAGGCCGUUGAGUUAAACCUCUUGCACUUCUAUAGGGUCCAACAUAUAUAAAAGGCUUGGCUUGUAUACAAGCUAGUUCGAGAAAAAGGAGUCGAGAACUGGUUGUCUAGUAACAAAUGUUAUAGCCAUGCAUGACCAACACCAAAAUAGGCAAAGGAGGCAUCCAAAAGUGAACUUUGAGCACAAAAGGGAUUACUCCCAAGCAAUGAUCAUAUUUUAUUACCAAAUGCUCCAUUCCAACUGAAGUUAAUUUCAAUGCAAGCAAGUAGACAGCUUUUCACAGGAGCAGCCGCUUGUCCAUCUGUAACGCCACAACGUCACUCCUGACAGCUCUGUAGCUUCAAAACUGGCCACACAAACCAACACAUGUCUUUCCAACGCAAUUUGUCCUAACUCAUAUGCUUCGGGGAGAAACUUUCCGGUCGGUCACCCAUCCUCAAAUUUCUCUAAGCCAAGAACACUUAACUUUGAGGUUCUUUUCGGAUAGGCUUCCGGAAAAAAAGGUAUACCUUGUUGAUAUGAGUAUUAUAUCAAUCCUAUUAAGACAUAGGCUAGUAUGUCACAUAAAUCCUAGCGAAGCUUAUCUUGUUUCAACCUAUCUUGCAACAAUAGCCAUCAACAUUUCCCCCCUUAUAAUCCAGCAAAUGUUUUUUGAUUUCUAAAACAAUUUCCCAGAGUAGUGGAAUGACCAUCCUCGAGCAAAUUUCUUUCUAUAGCACGGGGUCCCCAUGCAGCCCUCCCGGAUGCGUGUCUUUUACGUGUAGGCUAUUAAAAUUUCCAUGUAUGUUUAGAAUUAAAAAAGGGCAUUUUUAAGGCACUCUAGUCUCUAUUCAAGAUUUAUAGGAGUGUGCUAUGGCUCCUGAUCCGCUCAUGAUGAAGGAACACGAUCUAACGAUCUAAAAUAUAUGAUCCACGUACACAGCGGAGAUAGUACAUUUGGGAUAGAGAUGAUGAAAUCAAAAGGAUUAGAAAUGCAAAGCAUAUGAAAGAUGGUGCUAACAUAUCAGCUGAUGAUCGUGUUCACGGGAGAAUACCCCCCCCCCCCCCACCACCACCACCCGGCUAAUUCUGUCGCCUUUCCCUUCUUCCCCACUCCCGCACGAACCAGCCACUAGGGUUCUGACAAAUUGCGAGGCGGGUCACCUGUGGCCAUGAUGACUAAAAUGCAUGAUUGUACCGUCCAACUCAACUCCUGUGCUUGAUGUUCAACUACUGAAUCUAAUUAACAUGAAGAAAGGACAAGGGAAAAUAGAAAAAUUGUUCCUUGAGUUUGAUGAACGCCAUUUUCCUUCUGCAGCUGCACUCUCACAUUUUUUUUGGAAUCAUCAUCAUACCAAGAUUCUGCCUUGAGACAGAUGAGGGCGAGGGUGUGUGUAAAACAGCAGGAGGAAUAGACUAGACAUGGAUCGAGCGAAAAAAUCAAUUGGGGCGAAACGGCGAAACCUUGGCCUAGCAGCGGAGCCCUUUAAGAACUAAAAUAAUGCCUCCCUUCUAGCGGUAUACAGGGGUACCGUAAAAGGUUUUUAUUUGUACUCCCUCCGAUUCAUAAAAAGUGUCAUCCACUUAGUAUAAAGUUUGUAUUAACUUAGUACAAAAUAAACGACACUUCUAUGGAUUGGAGGGCUUAAUAUUUAAGCCUUGGUGAUAUAUCAGCGGUUCUCAACUGGAGAGAAAGAAACAACGCAAAUAGAUGUUACAGAUAGUGCAAGCCAUGUCACGGCUUCAAAUAGGAAGAGGAGGCAUCAGAAGUGAACUUCAAGUUUGUGAGGGUUACUUCGUUUGAGGCUUGAGUUCAGAACGCAUUUUGUGGCACAAAGCCGUAACAAGAUGGCAGACGACCUUUGUGACGACACAUGCCAAUAAUGACGAAAAUCAGACCAAGCCGUGUGCACAUUGCCACUGGUGUAGAGUGGCUGCGAUCGACCUUAUAUAUGCAUGGCAGUGGCACCGAGGCAUGGCAUUCCGAGGCUGGAAGCCAUAGCCGUGGAGGGUACACAGGCAUGGAACUUCAAGCAGCAAGAAGAUGUGCAGGGAGAAAGUGUAUGGAUUCAGGUUGGAAGUGAACUCGUGUUGAGAGGAUGUCAGGUACUCCGUUGAUAAAGUGUUACAAAAUUUUGGGUAUUGAGUUGUCAAAAAGAUAAUCAAGCACACAAAUAAAACAAUGCAAUCAGACACGGAAAAAAUGUAAAUUGUUUCUUUUUCCUAACCGAAACCGAUGUGGCGGCCAUGUGACGUGUUUUACCCUCGUCGAACCAUUUUUAGACUAAGUGUCACAUUAAUCCUAGUUUAGGAAUUUAUGUGUGUGUUUUUUUAGUUUGUGUACUAAAGUGUUUAUUUCAGCCAAGUUCAUAGACUAGUGUUGUAUUCACCGGAUCUAAGGACGAAGCCCCAUCACCGGUGUGCCCCCUGUAGAUCCCUCUCGCUGACAUGGUCGCCCGAUUGUCGCCUCUACGGCACCAUCUCCGCCUUGACCUGCGGUCGACUCGCCGACCGUCGGUGUUCAACGUCGGAGUCUUGGUUGCCUCGGUGCCGUCGAGGGGAGAGAGGAAGAGCAGAGUGCACGAGCGCAACGAAAGGUUCGUCUCCUAAUAUCUCCAUGUUGAUUUUGCAACAAAAAAAAAUGAGAAAGAGGGAUUGGAAGCCACGGUCCUGGCCUUAGCUGACGUGGCGGCCACGUGGCGUGUCUAUGCCUCGACGAACCGUUUUUGGACCAAACUGUUACACUAAUCCCAGUUUAUGGACUAAUCUGUGCGGUUUGCGAGUUUAUGGUUUAAAAUGUUCAUUUCGCUCGAGUUUAUGGACUAAUGGUGUACCUUACUCAAAAAAAUUGUUGAUGCUGUGUCCAUGUACAUAUAUAGUUGACAUGUUGAUACAUACAUGAAUGGAUACACAUUUAUAAAUGAAUUAAAUGUAAUUAAGUUGUGUCUGAGGCCCUCACGAGCCAGCAGUUGUACUAUAGCUUGCCGUGGUGGGUGGGACCAUGGAUUGGCACACACCAUGCCGACGUCUCACUUCCUGGGUAGAUCGCAUCGUGUCUCAUCGUUCUCAUGGAUAUAAUAAACCCACGAAAGAAGCUCACACAUAUACUGUACUUGAUAUAUACAGGCCGGGUCUUAAGCGCGCUUACAAGGAUGAUGCCAAAUAUGAAAUGCGGAAUUGGUUGAUGCAAAACGUUGCAUAGCGUGCGGCUCGAUCGAUGGAGCUUGCAACAUUUGGACUUGUGUGGCAUCAGGAAAUAAAAUUCGAUUAUGCAAGAUGGCAGACAACGAAAGCCGUUUCACCAUGGUCAGUGCCUCAAGAUAUGAAGUACCGACCAAGACCUUUGUCGCAACUACUCCUCUCCCCGGCGCAGCUACUUCACCCCUGCCCAUCUUACCAGACCCCGGCUUCUCUUCCGCCUCUAUGCAGUGACCCACAACUCGCACUUUCCAUUGACCACUUCUCUCCAUGAUGCUAUCCAGAGAUAAGUCUGGCCAUAUCACCUCUGAACUACAUUGUUGUUCUAAAGUGUUGUUCAGAUGGAGUCCCGGCUGUCCCGGCAAUCUAAUGGCUGCUACUUGAUUUGUGACGCCUGUGGUGUGUGACAAAUAUCAUUUGUGUUGUGGAAGGGGGUUCCCGCCCACCCUGAAUCGACGCAAAUUAUUCUGACUCUUAUAAACCCUAAUAAUCUGUGUUGCAUCUCGACGCGCUACGGCUGGCCUCAUCAUGCCCCAGCACCCAUCUUCAUACGACUCCUCAUCUCGCAUCAUCUCAUUGCACCAGUACAUACCACAUCACAGUAGUUAGUUCCUAGAGUGCAGAGUUGUAAUUAUGUAAGAGGCAAACAUGUGCUUCCCCCUCAUCCCUAAGAUUCAUUGGAAUAUUCCCUAGAGGUAGAAAGAAAAAGACACAAUUGCCCUCGGCCAAGCAUAAGGACCGAGGGCAUGACUGUAAAUUGCCUAGGGGCAAGCUUGUAAUCUUUCAACUCCCAAAAUCUAUAAAUAGAAGGACACCCACUCAUAUUUGGGAUGGAUGGCAUUUGCUUGAGGUCAUGCCUCGCCCCUUGUCAUCCCAGGUCACAAGACUCCGACUCCUGCAGUCGUCGAGUGGACAAGCCUCCAGACCCACGUUGUCCUUCCGACUCUCGAAGUCGCUCGACGUAAGACUCCGAUUUUUGAAGUCGUCGAGUGGUGAAGCCUCCAGAACCACGUAGUCGUUCCGACUCUCGAGGUCGCUCGACGUAAGACUCAGACUCUUGAAGUCGUCGAGUGUAGAAGCUUCCCGACCCACGUAGUCGUUCCGACUCUCGAAGUCGUGACCCAUGCUUAAGGUUGUCAGAGUAGCCGAACACAAUGUAAGAGUUGGGAUCUUAAUUAGAUAAAAUCUCUUCUUGUGAGCUCUCCUCCCCUUGCAUCUUCUUGGUGUGCAGGAGGAGACAUGAACACCUUGGGCGCUUGUGACGUCAAGACCACACGAGGCGGAGGCCACUUGAAGCCAGCACAACGCGGAGGCGACGACCGAAGCACAACAGACGAAACACCAAGACCGCGAGGGAGCAAAGGAGCCAUGGACGUGAUGGGGGCAAGACAUUGGUGUGAAACUCGUUUCCUUGUAUGCAUACCUCGUUGAGCCAAAUGUCCAAAUCAGAGUGUUACAAGUUUACUGUUCGGGAUUAACCCGCCAACAGUUGGCGCCAUCUGUGGAAAUCGACACGAGAAGCUAUGUAAUGAAAUGUUAACACUCCAAGCAAGUGCCUUCAUCAAGUCUAACUCCAAAGGUCCUUUAGGUGCAUCGGAGAUGUCACAUGGCAACAUCCCAUGUCGAGAAGCCUUCCGCAAAGCGCCAUAUCGCAUCAACAGAUCCGUCCGAGGAACUCGAAGGAACUCCAAGAUGAUGUCGAGAAGCAACUGAUUCCCGUGCGCCGGAGACUUGGCGACGGCACAUUGUGUCGAGUAGCGUCUUAUCCUUGUCCGCGGGCAGUGAAUACUCCACGACAACGUGCCGCGCAAAGCAACUCGCUCUGCCGACACCAAAGUCAUAUUGCGGCAGUGUCAGCGCAAUGGGCCGGGCUCGUGCUGAAAUUAAGCCUAGUGUAAGGACACCGUCAACAUAGACAAUGCCAGCAAGGUUGAACUCACACAAAAUAUAGUGAAGUAGAAUAAUUCAUGGCGCAAAUAAAUAUACAAGUAUACGACCAUUAUCUACAAACAACCUCUAGAUGAUACGUACAAAGAAAACUGGCCCCCCACGUGGCUCCAGCCAGCGCCAGGACACCAUCAUAUCGAGCAGUGGCCUGAUGUGCGUACUGCACGCUGAAGUUUAUCCUUAUGUUUAUUUUUAUUUUUUGAUAAGAAAGUUCAUCCUUAUCCUUAGGCCAAGGUCCUAUGCCACGUCAGGUGCUCCAUCCUGCAGUGACACGUUGGUGGCUGCUGAUGCUUCCAGGCCGGCCGCAUGCGAGCGACUCACACGAAGGCACACCUUCUGGCUGAAGCUUCUCGCCAAGCACGCCGCGCUCGACGCCGUCUUGCAUCUAGUCGCGCUAGGCUUGAAGAUACUGGCCGAGCUCUCCUCUGCCAGACGGUCAGUUCCUGCGUCUGUCGCUGCUAGCCUUGCCUGUACCCAAGAACAUCACGACUCGCCCCCGCCUGGUUCCCAUCAGUGCUGGCCCUCUGCGACCGAGCUCGCUCCCGGACCUCCGCCUCCUGCCGCCGCGUACCUGCCGACAACCAAGGGCAUCGAGCUCACAAGAAUCCUGGCGCCUCGCUGUGCCCGUCCUUGCUUGACCACGACGCUCCCGGCGGACCCAGCGUGCCAUGGCCGCUCUGCCUAGCUAGACGUGCUCCGGCGCUGAGCUUCCCGCCGCCGUGACGUCCUCUGCACUCUGCAGGCGUCCUCUGCAGCAGCAUCCCAUCAGGCUCCCCCAAAACUGACGAGGAACGGCGCGCAUGGCGCUCCCGCUGCCUCCACGCAUCGAUUUCAGCGCCCAAGGACACACCAACCUUGGCGACUCCACGGGAAAGAGCGGCCACGCUGGCUACGAUGUCGCCACUCCGUGCAUCGGAGCUUCACCACCGUCGGGGUGCCGCGCGCCGCACACCCGAUCCGGCCUCGCUCCGCUCUGCAUUCCACCGCGCUGCUCUGCUCCCCGAGCUCGCUCGGCGUCUGCGCCACGCGCCCGUCACCGCCAUCUUGUCCGCGCUCCGCAGAAGCCACGCACGGAUGCACCAGCGCGCCUCGACGCAGGACCGCGCCGGAGUCCCCCUCCCCGACCCGCCGCGCUCCACACCCGAUCCUCAAUGCACUCCGCAUGCGCUCGCCCCAUGAGGCCACGCCACGCGCCUAUGACGCACACGCGUUAAGGACCCCGCACCGCGCACCUGCUCGGGGCCACCAGGCCGGAGCCCGUGCCUCGCCGGGCGCCGCUGCUCAACAAAGAAGCCCCGAUUUUUGGUGUGCAGGCCGCAGACCAUGCAUGACCUCUGCACCCAGCCUCGAGCUCGCGGGCGCCGAAGACCGUCCGAACCACCAAGUCCCCUUCCCUGCUCGGCGCCUGUGCCCUUCGCUGGACCAUCCUCAACCUAGCUCGACCACCUGUACAGGAGGAGAGAGCUUGGGAGACGAGCUGGGGAGCAAGCAGGGCGGGGAGAAGAGAGAGCGCAGGGGCAGAAGAUAAGAAGAAAGCUGAGUAGGAAGGAGCAGGUGAGUGAGUGGAUAGGAUCAGCAGCUAGCGGGAUCGAUGGCAGGUAAAAGAAAAAACGUAGCAUUAUCGAUAAUGCUAGAGAUUUUGUCAUCGGGUUGGCAUUGGAUGCAUUUUUCUUCAUAGACUCUCAACGUCAACUUAGAUACUUCAAUGAAGCAAUUGUUGUAGCCUCGCUCAAUACCCCUGGGACGAACAACAAGCUCAGGAUGGCACACAUGACGAGCAGCGCCAAUCGAAUGCGGCAAGGAAGCGAUUGGCACCAAAUCGCAAGGGGUUCAACACCCCGUGACGCAUCAAGCUUACAACAUCCGUCACCGUCAUACGUGAAGCUCAAUCCAUCGUGAACAAAAAGCAAUCGGUGCAACCGCGCUAAGAGUUAACCACUCGAGGCCACACUCCGAGCCUAUGGCGUCACUUAAGCCAUCCAUCGGCUACAAUGGUGAAUCAAUUAACAGAACUCACAGGGGGUUCAACACCCCAAUUAAUUUCUCCCGAACCUCAUGAAGUAAUGGGUAUAAGCUUGCAAGGGGUUCAACACCCCGAGCUACAUUUUGAGCUUUUGAUAUUUAUCUAGCCGCAUUUUACUUUCUUAUUAUAUUAAUAUUUCUUGACAUUACAUUCACCUCUUUGUCGACUUUGGUUUGACACAAUGAACUACGUGAAUCUUCUAUGUUAUGCCUUUUGCAGGAUGAGAUUUAUUCACAACACCUAUCUAUCAUGACAAUGCCAAGUCAAUAAAAUUCCACCAUGAAUGGACCAGGUCUAGCUCACCGGGACGACAUGAGAAGGUAAUACGGCCAUGAGAGGGCUCGGACUAGCUCCCCGAGAAAUCAUGCGCCAGACAUACCCCCUCCAUGGACGGACCCGGCCUAGCUCACUGGGACGACAUGAGCAAAUAAGAUAGCCAUGAGAGGGCUCGGGCUAACUCUCCGAAACAUCAUGUGCCAGACAUACCCCGCCAUGGACGGACCCGGCCUAGCUCACCGGGAUGACAUGAGCAAAAAAGACGGCCAUGAGAAGGCUCGGACUAGCGCCCCGAGAGAUCAUGCGCCAGACAUACCACCUCCAUGGACGGACCCGGCCUAGCUCACCGGGAUGACAUGAGCAAAUAUGAUAGCCAUGGAUAUCCUAAACCAUGCCGACGUCUCACUUCCUAGGUAGAUCGAUAAAUUGAGGCAUCGUGUCUCAUCGUUCUCAUGGAUAUCAUAAACCCACGAAAGAAGCUCACACAUAUACUGUACUUGAUAUAUACAGGCCGGGUCUUAGGUGCGCUUACAAGGAUGAUGCCAGAUAUGAAAUGCGGAAUUGGUUGAUGCAAAACGUUGCAUAGCGUGCGGCUCGAUCGAUGGAGCUUGCAACAUUUGGACUUGUGUGGCAUCAGGAAAUAAAAUUCGAUUAUGCAAGAUGGCAGACAACGAAAGCCGUUUCACCAUGGUCAGUGCCUCAAGAUAUGAAGUACCAACCAAGACCUUUGUCGCAACUACUCCUCUCCCCGGCGCAGCUACUUCACCCCUACCCUUCUUGCCAGACCCCGGCUUCUCUUCCGCCUCUAUGCAGUGACCCACAACUCACACUUUCCAUUGACCACUUCUCUCCAUGAUGCUAUCCAGAGAUAAGUCUGGCCAUAUCACCCCUGAACUACAUUGUUGUUCUACAGUGUUGUUCAGAUGGAGUCCCGGCUGUCGCGGCAAUCUAAUGGCUGCUACUUGAUUUGUGACGCCUGAGGUGUGUGACAAAUAUCAUUUGUGUUGUGGAAGGGGGUCCCCGCCCACCCUGAAUCGACGCAAAUUAUUCUGACUCUUAUAAACCCUAAUAAUCUGUGUUGCACCUCGACGCGCUACGUCUGGCCUCAUCAUGGCCCAGCACCCAUCUUCAUACGACUCCUCAUCUCGCAUCAUCUCAUUGCACCAGUACAUACCACAUCACAGUAGUUGCUUCCUAGAGUGGCAGAGUUGUAAUUAUGUAAGAGGCAAACAUGUACUUCCCCCUCAUCCCUAAGAUUCAUUGGAAUAUUCCCUAGAAGUAGAAAGGAAAAGACACAAUUGCCCUCGGCCAAGCAUAAGGACUGAGGGCAUGACCGUAAAUUGCCUAGGGGCAAGCUUGUAAUCUUUCAACUUCCAAAAUCUAUAAAUAGAAGGGCACCCACUCAUAUUUUGGGUGGGUGGCAUUUGCUUGAGGUCAUGCCUCUCCCCUUGUCAUCCCAGGUCACAAGAUUCCGACUCCUGCAGUCGUCGAGUGGAGAAGCCUCCAGACCCACGUUGUCGUUCCGACUCUCGAAGUGGCUCGACGUAAGACUCUGACUUCUGAAGUCGUCGAGUGGUGAAGCCUCCAGAACCACGUAGUCGUUCCGACUCUCAAGGUCGCUCAACGUAAGACUCCGACUCCUGAAGUCGUCGAGUGGAGAAGCCUCCAGACUCACGUAGUCGUUCCGACUCUCGAAGUCGCUCGACGUAAGACUCUGACUCCUGCAGUCAUCGAGUGGUGAAGCCUCCGGAACCACGUAGUCAUUCAGACUCUCGAGGUCGCUCGACGUAAGACUCCAACUCCUGAAGUCGUCGAGUGGAGAAGCCUCCAGACCCACAUAGUCGUUCCGACUUUCGAAGUCGCUCGACGUAAGACUCCGACUCUUGAAGUCGUCGAGUGUAGAAGCUUCCCGACCCACGUAGUCGUUCCGACUCUCGAAGUCGUGACCCAUGCUUAAGGUUGUCAGAGUAGCCGAACACAAUGUAAGGGUUGGGAUCUUAAUUAAAUAAAAUCUCUUCUUGUGAGCUCUCCUCCCCUUGCAUCUUCUUGGUGUGUAGGAGGACACAUGAACACCUUGGGCGCUUGUGACGUCAAGACCACGCGAGGCGGAGGCCACUUGAAGCCAGCACAACGCGGAGGCGACGAGCGAAGCACAACAGACGAAACACCAAGACCGCAAGGAAGCAAAGGAGCCAUGGACGUGAUGGGGGCAAGAUAUUGGUGUGAAGCUCGUUUCCCCGUAUGCACAUCUCGUUGAGCCAAGUGUCCAAACCAGGGUGCUACAAGUUUACUGUUCGGGAUUAACCCGCCAACAAUUUGCAUAAUAUUCUUAGCAUGAUUGCGGGCUGUGUCAAUUCUGCUCCUUGUCACUGAAAACGUCGGCUAAAAGCAUAAUUUUAUUUAUUCAGUAUACUCCAGAAAUCAGUUACUAGAAGCUCUUUACCUUUUAUUGCAGAACAGUGCGAAAAGACAUUAUAUAAACACCAAAUUUUGGGUGGAUACUCUACAAAUCGGAGUACUCAGAUGAAUGGACAUUGUUGGGGCUAAUCAGUAAAUUAAAGAAAGAAGAGCAAGAAGUAUGUAAUAAAUAAAAAAGAGUGCAAGGACAUCUUGGAGAAGAAGAUGAGAAGACAACGGGAAAACGUGCAAAAAUGCAGUCACGCCAUGAUUCCUGUAUCAAUUCUACUCCUUGUCAUUGCAAACGUGCAAAAAUACAAUGCACUGUUGAAGACGUUUUCUACUGUGCCUAACACUCCAUAGUCUAAAUGGACUAUUAGGGAAGGGCAUGGUAGUCUUUUCACAAAAAGGAAAGGAAAAAAACAUCGCUUCGUCGAUUUUCCUGAUCCCGAAUUCAGGAAAAGCCGUCCUCCAAAUAAGGGGAGCCUCGUCUCAGCACGCCACCGCUGCCCUCCCCUAGCACCUGGCCUAAUUCAGCGCGCCACCGCAGACCGCGCCGUCCUCGGCUCCUCGCCCUCCUCCAGCGCGCCGCCGCCAACCUCGACCCAGCCCACGCCGCCGCAUUUCUUCUUCAACUCCGGCCACACUGCCCCGAUCAUCUUCUCUGGCGCUGCCUUCUCCUGGCAACCAUGUUUAUUGAGUCGGAGCUUACCAUGUUUUAAUUAACUACGUCCGAGCUUUCUUUCAAGCAUAAUUUGUUUGUUUGAUUGUUCAUUUUUCUGAACCAUGAUACAUGACGAAGUGUGAUCCGAAUAGGAAUAAUCGUCAUUAAUGUAACGGUGGCACCAGUGUAGUGAGGAACUCAAUCCAAAAUCUUAGAGUUCAGAAGUAAACUGAAAGAAUUAAACUGCUGCUGUAGCAAGGAAAUAAGCGAGCCGUCGAGGCCGCCGCGUCGCCUCCAGCACCAAAGGCGGCGGAGGAGGGAGCUCGUGAGGCGGUCUGCAGAAGCAGCGGCGACGGCGGAGUAGAGCUGCUCGUGCGAAGUGAAUCGGCCAAGAGAUGCGGGAUGGGGAUAACGACGGAAACUGCCGACAUUUUUUUUCUUUGAGAGUGUCUAUCCGUGCCCUAAAAUAUAGUUAUUUUCGGUCGACAAUGGAACCCAUCCAAUAAAGAUUUUUUUAUCCAUCCAAUCUUAAUUAAUCUUAUACGAAUCUCAAUGUUUGAAUAAAAGGUUGUUAUCAUCGACUAAGAAAUAAUUCGUCUAAUAGCAAAACCGUUUUUCUUUUUUCGUUGUGUUAAGUUGCGGGUUUAGAUUAACUUUUUAUCUAUGACUUCUUAAUGCUCCGAGUAAAUUUCACAAAACCACAGGUGUUGGGGUUCGACUUUCACAUAGGGGCGAGUUUUGUGAUUUGCAACACAAAACCUGUGGUUUUGUGUCUAAUCUUUUCAGAAAACCCAAAUGACCCGGAUUAGGCUAUUUGACAGUGAAACCAACAGAGAGACGGCCCACAGGUCAGCCGCCACAUUGGCAGUUUUUGUGCAUCUCAUUUAUUCACAUAGACCCCUUGCCUUUGCUCUAUUCACAAACUCUCCUUCACCCCACCAACUGCCAUGGAGCUUCUCUUCCUCUCUACCUUGCCCGCAGCCGGUGACCUGCCCAGCGCCGCCUCCGCCUGCCCCGGACAGCCACCGGCGACCGGCCGGGCCCUGCGCCUCCUCCAUCUGCCCCCGCCCCGCACCCCUGCCCCGCCUAGCCUUCGUCUGCCCCCGCCCCGCGCCGCCUCCGCCUCCGCCCGCCCCGCGCCCCUGCCCGCCGCCGCCCCCGUCUGCCUCCGCCCACCCCGCGUCCCUGCCCGCCGCCGCCUCCGUCUGCCCCCGCACCGCCUCCGCCUCCGCCCGCCCCACGCCCCUGCUCGACGCCGCCGCCGCCCGCCCCGCACAGCCCCCGCCUGUCCCGGCGACCCGCCCCUGCCCUGCGCCGCUGUGCCUGCCCCCGCCCGCCGGCGGCGACUCGCCCCAAUCCCGGCCCGCCUUCCGCCUGCCCCGGCCCGCUGCCGGCAAUCGGCCAGCCCCAUGCCGCGUCCUCCUGCCCCAUCCCACCGCCGGCGACCCGCACCUGCCCCGUGCCGACCCGCCCCUGACCCGUGCUACCAUCGGGUUCUUGGUAACUUUUUGUUUUUGUUUUGUUUUCUCAGAUGUGAUUUGGAGUUGGGUGCAAAUACAAACUCAGAUGAGGGGUUGGAAAAAAGAGAGAUUUUCUGACGUGGCGACUUACUUGUGGGCCAUAUCUGUCGGUUUCGCUAUCAAAAUGCCUAAUCCUAGUCAUUUGGGUUUUCCUAAACAAUUAGGCUCAUAACUUGUGGUUUUUUGUUGCAAAGCACAAAACUUGUGCCCCGUGAAACCCUAGCCCCAAAACCCGUGGUUUCUUGAAAUUUACUCUAAUACUUCAUUUGGUUCCACUUGAUACUACUCCGCAUCUCUAAAUUGGAGUAUUAAGGAGUAGUCACUAAUCUGAGCUAUUAGAUCAAAGAAAACGGACGGUCCAAAUUAAUUCCGGUGUACCAUAGAAGAGUUCAUCUAACAUCUCAAUAUUUGGCACAUUUUUUGCCAUGCAGGUGAUGCCAGCUGGCAUGCGGAGCGUGGUCCAGAGCGUGACACCUUUGACCAAAACAAAUAUUUGCAUGUAUAUAUAGAGUUUUAUGGAUUUGUACUGAUUCACUAGCUAAUAAGUUGCACGUUCGGCCCCUUGUUUCUUACCUACUAUAUAUUGUGAACUCGAUGUGCAAGACGCACAUCUUUAAGCAAUUAUUUGUGUGGCGAGGGAAGGAGAGGAUCCGAAAAAAGUACCCUAUAUAUGUUGGGUUUUCCAAAAGAAACAAAGAGUAGGAUAUACCAAUCGUAUCACUAAGAAAUUAGAGUACGAGGCACCAGGAAUCUGGCUUGAAGCCUUUGUCAAAUCUCUUUUGGAGAUAGACAUCGCUGGUUUAUGCUCAACCUGCUAGCUCCCUAGACCGGAUGAGCAUACCGAAGACAUUGAUUGCCAUGUGGUGUAGAGUAGAGAAGGAUGGUGAGUUUCCAUCCGCCAUGGCAUUCGAUCACCCUUGCUACUUGAAGCAUCUGGAAAACCACAAAUGACUUUAUCUUCAACAAUUCCACAGCCAACUCUAUAAAUGCAGGAAUUUUUUUUAAGGAAGAGCUCAACCAAUUUUUUCACAGAGCUAAGAGAAACACUUACACAUGUUUCAAGAGUUAGUUUGACAUUCAGAUAGGCUUUUCAUUUCUUUCUCAUGUAGGAGCACAUCUUUCCAUUGUACAAUAACUUUCGUUUUACUAAAACUUGGGUUGUAGUUUUUACACCUACUGUUUUACCUUUAAAAUAACGCCUACCUUCUCCAUCGGGUUUGGUCUCUGAAUUUCCUGCCUCCCGCCCAUGCUUGUUUCUGAAUCACGCAUGGUUUCUGGAUCUCAGAUUCAGCAACUGAUUUACUUUUUCCAUGAACUGCCCGCGAGCUUCUCAAUUGUUCUGUGUGAAGGAUCUGGCUGCCAUAAAUUGAUAUAGGAUAACAAAAAUACACAGCAGGGAUUUAUCAUGUUGCCAUCAUAUAUAACUACUAGGUGAUUUCCAGCGUGUUGCUGCGCGCGGAACCAUGUUAGAAAAAUAAUUAAUUAAAGCUAAUGUGAAAAUGUAAAAAUGUUCUUGUUUUACAUUUAAAAACAAUAAAAUCUACCCUCUCUGUUACUAAAUGUAAGAAGUCCUAACUUUGUUCUAAGUCAAACUUCUUCAAGUUUGACCAACUCUAUAGAAAAAUCAACAAACAUCUACGACUCUACAUUAGUUUUUAUAAAUUAACGAUAUAUAUUUUCAUACUAUACUUAUUCGACAUUCUAGAUGUUGAUAUGUUUUCUAUAAACUUAGUCAAACUUUCAGAAGUUUGAAUUAGGACAGAGUUAUGACUCCUUACUUUUAGGAACAAAGAAAAUAAAAAGUAGUAUGUGCACAAUGUUUGGACUAACUUGACACAUGUGGAAUACAUUUAGGACCUCAAAUGCAUUUUACUCAAAAUUAUAUGCAUUGUAUCUUGUAAAGGAGGGAGUACCUCCCUAUUGUUUCAUAACUCCUAUUAAUUAAUGCUUCAAUGCAAAUCCAAUUCAAGGACUAAGAAGCUAUCUAUAUGCAUCCCUGCCCGGAGAAAUCAAAGGAGAUCGACGCCUUCUUAUUUAUUUUUAAAUUCUACAGAAAAAUCAAGGUAGGUUGUAUAAAACUGCAGGUCCAUGUCCAAGCUGGCUAGGCUAUCAAAGCAAUGAUCGAUAGUAGAUAGCAGGUCCAGGUCCAUGUCAAAGCCUGCUAUAUAUUCCGGAUCUUCUAGGAAGGAGAGGCACCAGAAAACUUGAGUUCUUGAGGAGAAAUGACAACAGAUCAAGGAAGGGGAUAGGAUCGAGUUCAUACUUCGUUGUGUUCUAUGAAAGCUGAGCCUCAGAUAUUUCCUCUAAAAAGGGACAGACAGGGUUCUGACGGCAUGAGAGUGUGAUGUUGACCUGCUGAAACCAAAAACAGUCUUGUGCAGGAGCAGAAUCAGACUCAUUUUCCUCCUCCCAACAUUGCUGCUAGAGUGAGCAUACCCUUGCCUAUCGCGGGUUUGAAACUUUUAAGAAAACUGAGGCGGGUAGAACAGCAGAAGCAUAUAUUCGUUAAACUUGUUUACAUGGAUUAUGUGUAUUGUAUUGUGUUCUACAUGGGUUACUUGUUUACUUGGUGCGAACCCUGCUACUCCGGAUCUACUAGGAAGGAGAGGCAACAGAAAACUCAUGUUCUUGACUAGAGAUGUCAACGAAUCAGGGAAGGCACACUAGGAUAGAAUUUAGACUUCGGUAUGUUCUAUGGAAGCUGGGUCUCGGACCUUUCCUCCAAAAAAGGACAGGAUGGGUUCGGAUUGUUUGAGGGUGUGAUGUAUUAUCCUUGCUGCAACGAGAACAGAAUCAGGCUCGAUUUCCUCCUCAUUUGUGCGAUAGCAAUAGCGCUACUAGAGACUAGAGUGAGCUUACCAUUGCUUAUCGUGGGUUUAAAACCUUUAAAUACAAAGAAAACAGAGGAACAUGUAACAGCGGAAGUAUAAAUAUUUUCGUUAAACUUGUUUGCAUGUGGUGGGUUAUGUGUGUUAUGCAGAACUAUAAGAAAAUGUCCAUAUUUAUUUCUCUUUCUAGUUACUAAUAACAAAUCCUCAAACUUGCUGUGAUUACCAGAUUGUGGCACACAAGUGUGGCAGCCGGUGGUGCUCCGUGUCAUCUCUGACCAAGGUUUUGGAUGCUAGAUCUAUUUUUGGAGGGGAUUAGAAUUCGUGAUAACAGCGCCUUUUAACGGUCGGUCGUGCUCCGUGUCGCAGACGGGAUUUAUGAUAAAAUUAUGAGUUGUUUUUCUUGUAAAAUUAUUAUGUAUCUGUUUUUUGGCGAGAAAAAAAAUAUUAUGUAUCAAACCUAUGGGAUUCCAUAAAUGCAUCCAUAAUGCAGUAGACCAAACUAUCUCUCCUAAUAAGGGGCGGCUAGCUAUAGGGAAUUGUUGAUCGACUUGUUGAUGUGCCGAGGCCUCCUAAACCUAGAACACAAGUUUUUGUUUCGGAUACUCAUUCCCUUGCAUCGACUCUUGGCCUAUGAAAACUCUAUUGAAACAUGAGCUCCAUAUCCACCGUCUUAACUAAAACCUAUAUAUAGGCAAUGGAAUUGAAACAUGCGACUUAUAUAUGAUAUAGUCGCGAGUGGUUGGCAUACAUGCGACUCAUAUGCAGAAUAUAUAGUGGUUGCUUUAUGAUAGUAAUGUAAAAAACAAAUAAUUGCUGGGAAUUGUAUUGCUAGAUUCAAUUGAACGGAGGGGCACGGUAUCUAUAAGUGCAGAUGCUCUGCGCAAUAUAUUACAACUGAAGGACACAGGGAUCACUACGUCCCUAAGAUACGUAGACAAGGAAUCCUAAGUCAUUUUUAAUAAAAAUAUUAUUUGUUAUAAAUAUGUAUGGUAUUCACAGCUCUCCUAAUACAUAUAUCGAUUUAAGAUUCACAUUUUGUUUCAAAGCUAAGAAACACUUGUUGGCAUUUCAAGCUAGACAACUACUCCCACUGUCCCGAUUCAAGUGUCGCGAGGGACAAAAAAAAUUAAAUUAAACACCAUUUUGCAGUUACACCCUUUACAUUUCAAACCCGAUACAAUUCUAGACCCUGGCGAUCCCCUCCUACUUCGCGGCCUCGUGAGCUCAUCUCGUCGCGCCUCCACAGCUCGCGGCCUACCACCGCCUCCUUACUCCGUCCUCCCGUGCCGCCUCCUAUUUUUGUGGUUAAAUAGCUUUGCAGAAGGUAUGUCAAGACAAAAAUGUCUCUGAACUUUGAAGUAAGACAAGUUUGGCGAACUCUUGCCUUGGAGUAUUUUUGUGGUUACACAUUAAAACAGAGAAGAUGCGCAGUGACGUGGUAUAGAGUAUUCGAAUGUCACUCACGUUUUCAUAGGCUGUAGCUUCUUAACUUUCUCGCGAGCUUCGUUUUCAGUCAAAUCAACCUGUAUUUGUGGUCAGACCGAAAUUCAGAAAUCAAUCUGCAACUGAUUCAGAAAUUCAAUACUCUGCAUGUUCACUACCAGGAUAAUCAAGUUUUUCUUUCAUAGUCUGAGCCUGCAGUAUCAAAAUACCAUGAGAGAACUAGUUUUCCUCCUUGGAAAAACUAGUAAAUGUGCACGUGCAUGCACGUCCCUAAAUUUUAAAACAUAUCUUUAGAAUCUUAUUUUAAGUAAGUUAAUUUUAUUCAAGUCCAAAGUUUGCUUAAAACUUAGAACCUUGACUGAAAUGGCCAUGUGUGUGUAUAUGUGAUCGGCAGUAAAACAACAGUGACAAGAUACACCGAUCAAUAAUGAGAGGCAAUACCAAGACCCUGGAUAUCAUAUUCAUCAACAACACAUUGUGAACAAAGAAGUCUUAUUACCAGGUUCCGCAAAUUCAACAAGGGGAGGUAAAAGAGAUGAUAUAUAACCAUCGUUUCAGCACAUUGCAUAAGACCGAAUACUCGAUUAUACAAAAAUAACAAAUAUGAUGACCACAACUUUCUUAAUUUCCAUACAACACAAUUGCCACCGUUCCUUUUGUCACAAUUUAUGAUCUUAUCUGAAUUCCCCGUGACGCCGCAAUCCCCGUCAGCAAUCCCCUUGUCUCACACACAGCUACCACGCCAUAUUCUUACCAUGUGCUGUCCAGAACUGUUAGUGGUGUGUGUAAGAUCUUUCUUUUUCACUUCUUUUUGGAAUUUAAUUGCUAAUAAAACUGCAAUUGGUGUAUACCUUGAGCACAAAGAGUGUGACACUCAACACCUAGAACCAAAGAGUAGGCCAAGCAAACAAUCUGCUCGGGCAAAAUAACAAUCUUCUUUGAGCUGACAUUCCCUAAAAAAGAUGAGGCACGAACAAGUGGAGACAAGUACUCCCUCCGUCCCAUAUUAAGUGUCGAAAUAUUACAUGAAUCUAGACGCUUUUUAGGCAUAAAUACAUCCAUAUUUGGACAAAUUUGAGACACUUAAUAUGGGAUGGAGGGAGUAGAACAGAGCCAUGACCAAACCGACUCACCUUGCCGCCGGCGCUGCCCCCUUUGGAUGCUGCCACCGGCUCCUGGAUUGUCACCGGCCAAAAAUAAAAACAGAAGAUUUGUUAUGUUCCGUUGUAAACCAAACUCGAGUUGUUCUCUAAUAAAGGAAAGAGAAAAAACAGCCGCAUGUUUGAGAUAAAUACAUCAGGUUAUCAGCACCCAGAAACAUAAUUAUUGAUGUUCUAACUUGAACACUAAGGAAAAUGAGUUGCCCAUAUUUAAAAGAACUUAGAUGUAUCUCUUUCGCGAUCUUAAGUAACACUUGAUGUAAAAGAAAAGCCACCAGAUUGUACGGGUACGUUUACAGGAACCAGAAGUGUCAAAAAUAUGUUGUACUGACAGUCAGAACUUUGUUAAGAUUUUAAUCUUCUCCGUAGAACAUCUCCUCUUUUAGGACAGACCAGGUGUGGAAGCGACCUAUGUUCAACCACAGGGGGGAGUAUAUUGCAACAAGAACAAAAUUGGAAAGCUACCUAGCUAUUUUGUAUUUCCAGGAGUUUUGCUACCACGACCUGUAUUUACCUGUGAAACUGAAUCUUUUUUGGAGUUAGAACAUGAACUGCCACUGUUACCUAUACACCAAAUAUAUAAAGCAUAAAUGACUCGUCCCUAAAAACUAAAUGGAUGCCACAAAGCAAGUAUUAGAUUAGUAAUUAAUAGACCAACAUGCUUCAGUUUGGGUAGCAGCAUUGCUAGGAUCCCAUCCCUUUGAAAUAUUGUGUAAAAGAUCGAUUUCCACAUCAUAUGACAUGUUCACAUGCAUACUUUAUAUAGUAAGAAUAGUAGGAUCGUAUUUGUAGGCCUCAUUUGUGAUUGUGUUUUCCUUGUAAGAACAGCCUAAACAAAGAAAACAAAUGCACAGUAAUGAAACUCGAGAGCAAUUGCUAGGACUACAAAAUUCAGGGAUGCCAAACUAAAAAUUAGGAGUAACAUUUUACUGCUACUUCUAUCCAUUCAAUGUACUGUGAAUAUAAUUGAGUUUCAUUGCUUGCGAUCAGCAUGAUAAAUAUCAGAAAUCGAUUCUCAAAUGCUAUUUGCGCCGGUAAAAAAACUUACCUCAACAAAGGCCUUGUAGUAGCUCUUAAUUGAUUGCCAAAGUAAGAUCUAACAAGAACUACAUCAAACCCAUGGCCAUGGCAUAAAUACGCUACUAAAACUCUAAAAGGCGGUAGAUUGCUUGACGACCUAACAAGAAUAGGGCAACAUCGGCCACGCAUUUCGUUCAGAAUACAGGAAGCAGUACCCAAAUCGAGAGAGCGCAGAAGCUUACGUUGUGGUGAGUCCCCUUGUACAUCCUGCCGGGGUUCCCGAGCCUGACGAAAAGCCACGGCUUCUGGUCCCCAACAGCAGCGGUGGCCGAAGAAGAGGAGGAAGCGUCGGUGGCGCUGCAAGCCGGGGCUGGGAGGGGCUUCGAUGUUGCGCCGGAGAUGGCAGUGGCGAAGGAGGGAGCGGCGGUCUUCGACGUCGUGGCGCGCGGGCCGACACGACGGCUGGUAACGAAGGACGAGCGCGGCCAGUGCGCCGUGGCGCGCGACAGCGGCGCGGCGCUCCGGGGAUGCGAGGGCGGGGCUGGAGGGCGGCGACGGCGUCAUGGGGCGGGAGGGCGGCGGGGCUGCGAGCCUACGACGGGAGGUAACGGGGUAGAAGACUCGUUUUGAAGCGAUUAACGGGGUAUAAUUGCGGUUUUUUCCCUCUGCAGGCGCUAAACCAGCGUCUUUGAGGUGCUAAACCAGCAUCUUUGAGGGAAUAUUCUCCUGCCAGGCGGACUGUCAGUUAAGUUCGUGUCUUUAUAAGCAGUAGAGAUAGAGAUAGAGAUAAAGAAGAGAUAGAGAUUAGGGGAAUUUGCAGAAAGAGGAAAGGUCUGGAUCUCUCGAGGAUUGAAGGAGGACACUUCGAGGUUUAUCAAGGUCAUUGUGUGUUUGUCGCUCGACCUUACACAGAAGGUUCAAGUGGGGUGAGCUGAAGCGUCACACUUGGACCGUGAAGCCUCUGCUGAAGCAAGCUAAUAAUGUUGCAAGAUUAAAGUUCUGCAUGUCCAUGCUUGAUGAGAAUUGGAUCACAACUCUCAAUCCGAUCUUCAACGAUAUGACAAACAUGUUCCACAUCAAUGAGAAGUGGUUCGAUUGAGACAAUGUCUAUGCCAGCACCUGCAUCUAGGACUAGAUGUUGAUUUCCACAUGCCUCCUUUUCCCAAUAUAUGUCGUCACAUGAACUCUCGCAUGAACAACCUAGCUAGACAGUGCGUUCUUUUCUCCAUGUAGUCGUCUGAGUCCACUAUAUAUUGUCAUUUUGUCAAUGGAAGUUAUAUUGAUCAAUGCAUGGGAUUUUGGCACGUGGCUGUGAAAGCUUGCAUAUAUAUUUUGCAGUCAUAAGUUAGUCCACACACGUAUAUCAUUAACCUGUCACUGCAAGCAUAAAACUCUGGAGAAAUUUUUUUAGGGCCGGCAUGCCUAAAUGCGGCAUCUCUAGCUAGCAGAAUGGCAUGUGAUCCAAACUCGUCUCGGGUCGAUGUUUUUUAUGAGAAUAGGAGGAAGCAGGAACCAAAACUGAACACAUCCACUUCGGACCAAAUUUGUUCGAAUGAUCAAUUUCUUAUCCGGAAUCAAAUCUGGCGGCUCCAAGACGCCACAAGACUUUCUAGCUGAGCUGACGGGCAGAGGCGUGGGGAACCAGGUCGUCAUGCCGCGCCCCCCAUACACCAUUAUGGCUUGCUGUCCACGACAUACGCGGUCCAUACAUUCUCCAAGAACAGUAGCAGGCCUGUGCAAAGGACGAGGAUUAGUAGCCUUUGAUGCAACUCUUGCAACUAGUUUUUGUACGUAGUCUGUUCUGUGUUUGCUUAAAAAUUUCGAUGUUCCCAUUUAAGGUUGGUUCUUUUUGAAUUAAAUCAUACUGCAAGAUUGUCUUUUCGUUGCCCAUAAGUUCGCAACCAAAUUAGUCAAUGUUUGCCGUGCUUCAUUAUCGAUCAUUUUGUGUCCAGCUGAAAAGAAUAAUGCACGUUGUGUUUCCUCCUCAUCACAUACACCCAUGUGGACCGGAGUAUGUCAAUGAUGGAGCUACUGACUCUUGAAACGAACGAAAGACAUUAGACUGAAGCGUCAUAUAUCUUGGAACUGCAGCAUCAGAUCUUUUUUGCAUCGCAGUAAAUUUUGUUCUUUCUACCCAUUUUGAAUGCUUCAACCUGAUUGCUAUCUCAUAUCACCUAUUUUAACGGUAUAAGAAUUCCCCUUUCGGAAUUUUUAAUUUGUGCUCCUACAUAUGUCGUGUUCGAUGUUCAAAUUUUAGAUGUGAGUUGAUUAUGUCUAAAAGUUUAUAUACAUUUUUUUCCGAGUUAUUUAUAAAUUUGUGCAGCGGAUUGCACAAGAAAGGUGGAUUGUACUCAGUACGCCCCAAGAACUUUUUGCGGUGCUAUAUUUGUAAUGCCGGAUGAACUUGUGAACGAUGUUCUUGACUUUUAUUGAUUCGAUGUAGAUAAGUUUGAGAAAAGUUACAAUGUGGACAAUGUAGUGCCAUCGUUUCUGUUACUGCUGUCCGUUUCCAGGUGCCAGAGGAAGAAACUGCCCCUGCUGGUGUGUCCGGCCGUCCCAAUUUCAACCCUGAUCCAUGGAUGCAUGCAGGCCUUCACCGGUUUUGGUGACGAGCCCAAUGUGUACCUAGCGUCUUUAUACAGAAAUGAUAGCUGGGUUUUGUGACGAGCUAGUGCAUGCUCAUGUGCCAUCCCAAGUCCAUAUAUAGAUCUCCACCAGUUGAUUUUCGAAAAUGUCCGUGUAAAUAUUCUCGACACGAAUCAGGAGCCUCGGUUAAACAGUUCUGUAUAUAUAUGCAGGAGGAUCUCUGUGAAUUGACACGGGGACAAGAAUUUUAUAGACCGAUGUCGAACAGCAGAACAUAAUUGUAGAUAUAUCUUGGCGAUGAAACGAUUAUACAUGGGACCAUACAUACUAGGCAUGAGAGGCACCAGGAGCUCAACUUGAGCACGCAAGACUGCAUCACAAACCGCUAUUUUGUUCGCAUUUCUCUAUGAUGCCUGCCAAGGGCGCGUGCGGCAAUGCAGAGAUGCGUUGGAAGCUGAAGCAAGCGCAUGCCUGGAUGGCCUGAUGACCCUCCGCAAUCGGCUGUUCCUGGAAAUUCAAGUGGAGAGCAACUACCAGGAGAUAACCACAGGAGUACAUUCAGUACAUGGCGAUCCAAUCCAGCUGUGCUUCGUUAUCAGAGAGCUAGAGAUUUUAAAACUAGUUGGAUGCAAUUCUCUUGCCCUCUCUGCUAGGGAGGAAAGGGCUCUCGAAUGGCUCGAUGACACCGUGUCUAGUCUUGAGUGUAAUAUGUGUUACACUACAGGUUGUGUAAUAUGUGUUACUACCAGUUAAUGGAAGGCCUUACCAUAAAAUAAAAUAAGAAUGUGUCGAAGAGAUUUUGACAUUGAACGAUGUUCCGCGUUAGGCGGAGCACUAAAUGGAGCAAUUUUCGGUGCUUCGGAGGUAUCACUUGUACCUCCUCACCUUUAAAGAGUAGCUUCUAAGAUCCACCGUUGGUUGAAACAGGGAUAAAGGCUAUACAUUUUUUUUAUCAAUGUUUCAUUACUACCCCAUUCGUUGAACGCCAGAGUUAAAGACAGGACUCUAAGAUAGCAACAUCGACUACUGGGCUCGUUGGUGCCGCAACUGAUCGGUCCUGCAGCAUCUAUCUUCACAAGCAAGCAGUUAAUCUAUACAGACACAAGUUCAAGUACAAAUUAAUCACAUGAAUCCAUGGCUAGUUCUGGCAAAAACUGAGAGUAACGGAGGGGACACAAUAGAAAAGCUCAUCAAAUCAGGUCAGAUCUCAUCAUUACUCUAUAUGUUGUUACUUCUGUUACUCUUCGAAACAGGUUUCUCGUGGUGGACUAGGCAGUGCAAGCAGUUACCCUCCGUUAACAGCCAUGAGAGGGACAUCCUUUACCAUCCAACUGCUUAACAGCUGGUUUCAAUGGAUCCAUCUUGCAAAUCCGUCUUUGAACCAUCGUACGGUUGAUUGAGUCAGUAGGCCGUGCCGACACUAGUUGCCCACCCGAUGCUAUUCUUCCUCGACUUGUUGAUGUCUGGAUGCCUCCUAACCCUAGUAGACAAGGUUUUUGUUUCGGAUACUCAUCCUCUUCCAUUGAGUCUUGGCUUAUGAAAGUUCUAUUGAAACAUGAGCUUAAUAUCCACUGUCUUAGCUAAAACUUAUAGGCUAGGCAAUGGAAUCCAAACAUGGUAUUAACUUAUGAGGUCUAAUUCAAUACACCCCCCUCCCCAAACUUAAAGGGUAGUCUUUUCACGUUUUCUUUUUUCCUCCUAUUCUUUCUUUCUUCCUCCCUCCUUUCUCUCUCGCAAGGUAUCCUCUGCAUCAAGAACUUUUUUCGACGAUCCCUCCGGUGAGAAUGUUCGAUUGUGUCUUCGACAAUGCUUUUCAUCACGAUCCAACGGUGAAAUCUCCGGCCAAUACCAAAAUACUAAGUGUUGUUCGGAUUUCUUGCGGCCCUGCAUGAUAGCACGAUGCUUUUUCGACGAUCCCUCCGGUGAGAAUGUUCGGAUUGUGUCUUCGACAAUGCUUUUCAUCACGAUCCAACGGUGAAAUCUCCGGCCAAUACCAAAAUACUAAGUGUUGUUCGGAUUUCUUGCGGCCCUGCAUGAUAGCACGAUGUUAACAGGUUUCCCGCUGAUUCAAACAAUGUUUCAAUGAUCCCUUCGGUGAGACUGUGAGGAAUUUUGUGUACUAUGACAUUGUGAAAUUUCAUUGCGAUCCAACGGUGGAAUCUCUGGAAAAAUUCAAAAUACUUAGGGUUAUUUGGAUUUCUCGCGACCGUGCGGGACAGCACGAACAUCCGACUUAAUCGAAUAUGUCCCGAUUCCUCGAGAAGUGUUUUGCCGAUCCCUUCGGUGGGCUUGUGCGAAAUUUUAUCUACUACGACAAUGUAAAAUUUCAUCACGAUCCAACGGUGGAAUUUCCGGAAAGAUUCGAAACACCGAGUGCUGUUUCGAAUUCUCGCGGCCGUGCGGGACAGCACGAACAUCCGACUUGUUCGCCUGUUUCCCGCUGGCUCAAGAAAUAUUUCGUCGAGCCCUUCAGUGAGAUUGUGUGGAAUUGUGCGUACCACUAUAGAGUGAAAUUUCAUGACAAUCCAACGGUGAAAUCUCUAAAAAAAUUGAAAACAUCGAGUGUUGUUCGAAGACAUAUGGAAAUGAUAAAAGAAAAUAUUGUUUAAUAUCCAUUGUGUCCUUUUUUAUGAAAGGGUACGGAUUAAUCUGAACCGUCUUUGUGUUUCUUUUUAGAGGAGGGGGGUUGUAUUGUAUCAGAAGUGUUAACUUAUAUAUGAUAUACUUGCGAGUGGUUGGCAUACACAUGACUUACAUAUGCAAAAUAGUGGGUGCUUUAUGAUAGUAGAAUGUAAAGACCAAACAAUUUGUGGGAAUCGUAUUGCUUUAUUCAAAUGAACAGCGGGGUACAGUAUUUAUAAGUGCACAAUUAAAUCUGAAGCACACGGGGAUCUCUAUGUCCCUAAGAUACGUACGCAAGGAGUCCUAAGUCAUUUUCAAUAAAACAUUAUUUGACUUCAGAAUGUAUGGUAUACGCAGCUCUUCCUUAGUACAUGUAUCGACUUAAGAUUCACAUUUUGUUUCAAAGCUAGGAAAUACUUGUCGGUCUACAAUUUAGCUAGACAACUAUAAUUUACACCUAAUUUGUUUCGUCUACUAUUUCCUUAAUGGAUAUUUACGGUUCAAAUUUCCAAAAUAGUGGCAUAAUAAUCAGAGGUACAAUUGUGUUUCCACUUGUGUUUCUUACAUGGGUCUUGCUUCACGCGUAAAUUCCUAGAAUGUCACACGAAUCAGGGAGUUUCGAUUUCUGAUAUCUGGCUGUACAUGACCAGGGUACACCUGUGUUGCCCGCUAGCGUUAAGGUGAUAGCGUACCCUAUCUACCUUACCAAAGUUAUAGCGUACAUCUACCACGUGUUGUUCAAGUUUAAGAAGGCCAACAGAUGCAGGGAACGAUGAAAAUGGAAACAUGUGCCUGGAUACUCAUUUGCACCUAUAGCAUGAGUUCAGAUCUCAGAGAUAAACGUAACUAACACUCUUCUUUUCCCCUUCACAGUUCACACACACAACCCGAAGACGAUAAAUAGCAAGGUAAAAUCUCAGAAGCAAGCUAUAGAGUACUAGACAGAACUAGCCAGAGCUAGCUAGACUAGUAGGGAUGGCAAUGGGUACCUAUUACCCGCGUACCCGGCGGGUAAAUCUCCAUUAGGAUACGGGUUUGGGCUAAAAUUCACUACUAGAUAUCACAUUUUAGCUGAGGGGGAAAUCACCGUCGGCUAACAGUUUAACCGACGGUAAACCGUCGGCUAUGCGGCGUUAGCCAUUACUUUAAUAGCCGACGGUACCGUCGGGUAUUGUAUUAGCCUACAGUAAUUAUCCGACGGUUGCCCGCUCGGUCAUGUGACUCUGAUAGCCGACCGUGUCCCGUCGAAUAUGUAUUGGCCAACGGUUAUUUCUCACCGUCAACAUGUUUAAGAGUUGACGGUACGUUUACUGUCAAUUAGUAUAAUCGCCAAGGGUACGCACACACCGACGGGGAUACUUAUAAUUGAGUGGAGUCCAGCACCUUCAGUUUGUAAUAUAGCCGACGGUCCAAAGUUCCAAUCGACCUAUCAUAUAUAUGAGAGGUUUUGCACUGUUGGGCAUCGGUACCCCCUCGGGAUUUCUUUGGACAAGGGAUGUUGAACAAUCUAGAAAUAUACAAUUUAAAUUCUAUCUAUUGCGAUCACAUACGAUAUAAUUAAUUUUGAAACUUCAUACAUCUAUUAUGUGUUUUAAUUAUUACUAGGCAACAUUACAAGUUAAAUAUUUUUGACAUCUUUUUAACCCGUGGGUACAUAAAUGGGAAAAACUUCAUACCCAUCGGAUAUAGCGGGUACGGGUAUGGGAACACAUAACCCAUACCCGUGUACCCAUUUACCCAUAUAAUAAACUCACAUAGGGGUGAGAUCUUGGCAGAGAAGAGAGACUAACGAUGUAUUGCAGCUUUCAUCUUUAUGUCUUGCCAUUUUAUCAAUAAAUUGUCUUUUUAUGUGUUAUUGUUGUUUAUAAUGUGCUAAUAUAGUACUCAAGUUGCUGCGUUUUCGAGAAAUAUGAUGUCGUUUCUAAAGACCAUGUUAUUGUUUAUCAAAUUUUAUUAUGGGUAGUUUUACCUGCGGGUACCGGUCUACCUGACGGGUAACGGGUAUGGGAAAAGUUGUACCCGUUGCCGGGUAUGGAUACGGGUAACGGGUAAGCUCAAAUCGAGCGGGUAAGGGUAUGGGAAGGCUCCACCCAUACCCAUAUCCCCCGGGUGCCAUCCCUAAGCUAGAGUAGUAAAUUACUCCCUUACACGAUACAUGUGAAACCGUUUGAGAAUAGGGGGCAGAGGGAAUGCUCAAUGCUGGAGGGCUGAGUUUUGUUUCCUCAUCACAUACUCUCAUGCUGGCCAAUGUGUUGUCUAUAGUAUGUCAAUGAUGGAGCUGUUAAAACAAACAUCCCAAUGCAGAUCAUGGGAGGAGUUAGAGGCAGAGUCAAUCUUUGCACAACAAGAAACUCUCGGUUGCCGGGAAUUGGAGGAAUAGUACAACAUCGGUGUCACAAUGACAUUAUGAGAAAGUUGUUUUAAACUCACGUGGCAUGUAAUCAGUUGUACAUUCAUUUAAAAAGCGCAGAAACUAGAUUUUUUUUUAUUUUUUAAAAACAAUGUGCUCCCCCAAUCGAUCUCCAAUAAAGAAACUGCCACGGAGUUAUUACAGAUCAAAGUAACUCUAAAGCUAAAGAGAAACAGAUGCUGAAAAGUAUACGCUGCACAGCAGCACACGGAUAAAACGACAUCAACUUAGCUCGAGAAUGUUUUAUGUAUAACUUGUGUGGAAGAAGUUAAUUUUUUUCUCUAACAUUCCUAGUUAGGCAGCACUGACUAAUUAAUUACCAGCUAAUUCAAAGGGCAAAAAAAAAUGAAAUUUGUGCACCUUAUAACUUUAUGUCAACGAAAGCUUGUUGCAAGCAUGUGCAGUUUGUUUAUUGAAUCAAUAAAGUCUAAUGUUUCUCAAAAAAUAAAAUUAAUGGUGUGUUUCAAAGUAUAUGAGGAAUUCCUAAUGCUCCAUCAUGCAUGCACCUUAUCUAAAGCAUGGUAAGUAAGAAAAUAUGUGACAUGGAGUAGCCCGCGCAAUUUGCUCUUUCUUUUUUCUUGUAUGUAGUUUCAGUAAUAUAUUCUAUGCUAUAAUACAUUGUCAAAAUAUUGUCCUAUGAUAUUUUUUUGAGAAUAAGCAUUCAACAGAGGUAAAUCGCCGAUAUUGGACAUGGUAUUUCGGCUCCCGGCUCCAGGAAGCCCAUUAUUUUGCAGUACUAUUUUCUCAAUAAAUGUGCCGGCUAUUGGGUAGGAAUACUGGGCCGGCCCAACUCCGAACAGCACGCGGGCGUUGCAUGGGUAGGGCAGGGAGGCUCCGCCGCGUUCGUCCCGCCGGCGGGCGACGGCAGCAUCAGCCAGCGGGAAAAAAUCGCCGCCAGCGUCCUUCGGAUCUGCUGUCUCGCCGCUCCAUCCGUCUCGAGGUAGCCGCUCUAGUUCCACGCACACCAUGUGUCAUCCUGCUCUCGUUGAGUUUCAUUACUCCAGUUAAUGCUGGCAUGCAGGAUCCAAUUCAAUUCAAGGACUAAGAAAGUAGCUACCUGCAUUCAUACUCGGAGGAAACGAAGGACGAGACAUCCUCUUCUUGUUUAUUGAUUCCACAGAAAAUUCAAUCUAGGUUAUAUAAAACUGCAGGUCCAUGCACAAACUGGCUAGGCUAUAGCUUAAACAAUGAUCUAUAGCAGAUAGCAUUUGCAUGUAUAGUCCGGAAAGUGCUACACCUGCUAUUCCGGAUCUAGUAGGAAGGAGAGGCACCAGGAAAAUUGAGUUCUUGACUAGAAAUGACAACAAAUCAGGGAAGACACUAGGAUAGAGUUCAGACUUUGUUGUGUUCUAUGAAAGCUGGGCCUCAGACCUUUCAUCCAAAACAGGGAAGUCAGAGUUCGGAUUGUUUGCGAGUGUGAUCCACUAUGCAGGAGCAGAACAGACUCAAUUUCCUCCCCAUUUGCGCGAUAGCAAUAGCAAUAGUGCUGCUAGAGUGAGCUUAAUUACCCAUGCUUACCGUGGGUUUGGAACCUUUAGAUACAAAGAAAACAGAGCAACAUGUAAUGGCAGAAGCAUAUUUUUGUUAAACUUGUUUACAUGGGCUAUAUAUUUGUGUUGUGCUGUAAACUAUAUAUGUAAGGAAAUGGUCAUAUCUAUUUUCCUUUCUUGUUAAUAACAAAUCCUCAAACUUGCUAUGAUGAUCAGGUUGUGGAACACAAGUGUGGCAUCUGGAGCCACACCUGUCUUGGCCUUUUACCGUCCGGUCACGGUUCGUCUCGGACAGGAUUUCCGAUAAAAUUUUGAUUUUUUUCUUUUAAAACUAUUAUGUAUGGAGCCUAUGUGGUUCCAUAAAUUAAAGCAUGGUGCAGUAAACAAAACUGUCUCUCCUAAUAAGGGGUCAUAGUUUUCAACACCGUUCGUAUCCAUCCUUAGCUUUAAAAAGAAUUAAGAAAUGGGAAAGAAAUCUUAAUUUUGUAAACAGUAAAUGAUGUCCCCACCAUUCUUAGACUGAGUUAUAGUACUAGUGUUCAAUACAUGUCCUUUCUUAUGCAUACACCUCACGUCAGUGCCGAUAAAUACCUCUUUAUAGUUCCAUUACUUCAUUAUCUAGAAAAAAUGUAAUUAUCCCGUGCCUACCCCCGAUUCGAUUGAAAGGAGUAGCUGGUUACAUAUAUCUCUAUGACUGCAUUCUUGGGGCAAAUAAAAAUGAGUGCUCCGUAUCUUUUUUUCAUGUUCUUAGAAAAUUUUAGACUCUUCACAGUUCACACUAUUGCAGAUAUGCAUUUGCUGAGGAAUGAACAUAGCAUGUGCACACAUGAGUGAAUUAACAAAGAUCUAUUAGAAGGAGAGGCACCAGAAACUUCUGCUCUAGACUAAAAUGAGGACGGCUUGGAACAUAUGUGUUCCAUUCAAAAAGAAAGGAAAUGAGGAUGGCUACAAAAUAAAGAACAAGAGUAAGGACAUUAUCAUCCUCUAGGUUGCCCUCCUUGGGCUCUCGAAGGGUUGUUGCAUUGCGCACAUUAGGAUCAAAUACUUUCUCAUGUUGCUACGGUCUGCCUAUUCAGGUUGAACGAAUCCUUAGAAGAUCCUCUAUUGUCUCCCAUCAGUUCUUUGCAUCUCGAUCAAUGAUUUCAUCUACGGAGGUUAAUUGUAGGGAUGUGCAGUUCAGCUCAGCAGUGACCUUUAGCCAUGCAUUCCUUCUCUCCCAUCUGCUCCUCACAGUAUCGGAAACAUGGAAGGAAUGCAACAAGCGUAUGUUCCAAAAUAAGCCUCUUCAUCCAGAAAUGUUAUCGUCACUAUCAAGGAGCAAGAGGCCCUUUGGGAUCAUGCUGGACGAGGGCUGGGUGAACUAUAGUUUCAAGAUCGGACGAUGUUCCUUGAAUUUGUUCUGCAUGCCUAAUCUUUCCUUGAAUUUAGUUUGGAAGGGUUUCAUGGGAUCCAAGAGAUCUAUGUACAACCGUAGAUGCAUGGUAGUAUAAGUAUUUGCAACCGAUGGAAGAAGUUGUACCUUUGUGCAACCACUGCCACAAUGCCAUUUACCUAGGGUUGUUGGGUACGCACGUUCUGCCUGCAGGUACCCCUUGCUGAUCUCUAAGUAUCUAUAUACUUUAUUGCUGCAUCGAUCUGUGAUAAAUAGCAACCAUUUGCAUACAUAUACAUGGACUUGAUGUAUGGAGCAAAUAAAUAGCAGGACUUACAUAUUUUUCCGACAAAAAUCUGCAAGGAAAUCACCACAAUACAAAAGGAUAUUAACCGUGGCCGGUGUUUGGGUUGCACAUCCACUCUCACGACGAAGGGAGCUCACAUAUUGUGUCUCAGCGUGUAAAAAAUUCUACCCACGCAGUUUGAUGUAUCACUGCAGAUCAAUGCAUGGCUAAAGCAAUGAUAGCAGGUACUCCCUCUGAUCCAAAAUUCUUGUCAUGAUUUCAGUUCAAAUUUGUACUAAAACCACGACGACAAUUUAGGAUCGGAGGGAGCAGCAGCGAUUUGCUAGGAAGAGGAGGCACCGGAAACUUUAUGUCCCACACUAGAAUUUACUAUGGCUCAAUUAUUCUCCAUCUUACUUCUGAUCUUUGCAAUGUGUGAGCAAUGGGUACGCUUCUGUGGGCUGAGUUCCAAUGCCGUAUGUGCUACAAAAUAAGAUCGUCAUAUUAUUGGUUAGGUCACCUCUUCUCUUAAUCUUCGUUUGCUAAUUAAUAUUGAUGACGUUUUAUUUUUGUUCUAAGUCAAACGUCUUUAAGUUUGACCUAGUUAAUAGAAAAAUAUACGAAUAUCAAAUCAGUAUACUCCUAAAAAAAAUCAUGAAGGAUCUAAUAAAACCAAUUUAGAGUUGGGGAAAAGCAAAUCUACAUGUAUCAGUGACCGCUUGGCAUAUCCAGACCGCACCAUUGCGCUUUGAGAUGUGCAGAACAAGUUGAGAGAUAUGCUCCCAGGUGGGGUUUGCUUUUACCGUACCUAUUUUCACUUGGCGAAAUGUCCCAUCUGAGGUGACUUAGGGGAUGGAUAGAGUAUUGAGCACAUAUCCUUCCAGCACAUUUUACGGCUUUUCGAUCCCCAUCUUCUCUGCUAACUGCGCCACACAGCCAUUCACCGCCCACCUCGAGCCCGAUGUUGCCAAGAUCCAUGGUCCAUGGCGGAUGCAGCUCCGCCUGCAGCUGGAGGGGCUCAGCUGCGGCAGCAAGGUAUCAUCUGGUCUGAAAUUAAUGUACCUAUGGUUCUUUUAUUUUGGUCCUCGGCAGGAUUCACCCCAACAUUUUUUUUUCCGCAGAAACAAUACAGAUGCCAAAUGUCGAUCUGGGUGCGGGAGUACAUAGAGCAAUGGUGGAGUACUCUUGUUCCAGACCGGUCCGCGAGCAGCUCCUCCACGCUUCUUGUCAUUGCCAGAAGAAGCUGGAACAGAAACAGAUCUCGCAAGCAUGGCGAUUGCUCUUCACGACAACAUAUCCGACCUGCAACUUAAGCACCUGACCUAGCCACCGCCCUACGAGAGAAAAUUGGCGGACAUGCCCUCUACGCUCUGAUGGAAGGUGGCAGCAGGGCUCUCUCCUGCGUCGUGGAAAUGGGCCGAUUUUGCGCGCGGAGGAGUUGUCCCUUGCGGGUCGGCCCGGUCCAGCCUCGAGUGGGGCAUCGAAGUGGUCAAAGUGGUUGAUGGCCGAAGGCUCCAGUGUUGAUGCUUGGUGGUCAUUCAAACGCAAUGCUAACCAUUUCACCGCCUGAUGGCCGAUGGCAUGCAUUUGUCUGUAUUUUCUGGGAACGGGGGACUCCUUUUGCAGGUUGCGGGGCGGAAGAUUCUGAAAAAACUAGGCCCCGCCGACACUUGUGGCCCAGUGGAGACUAUUCUUGCUGGUCUUGUUGAUGUCCCGAGGCCUCCUAACCCUAUCUAGUAGAGACAAGGUUGUUGUUUCGGAUACUCAUUCCCUUCUCUCAUUUUCUAAAAAAAAAUCCCUUCUCUUCCCAUUCUCUCUUCGCUUAUGAAAGUUCUAUUUAAGCAAUGAAAAAUAUCCAUGGGUAUUUGAACCCGAGUACCAGGAAAAAACAUAAUAUUUGAUGGAAGAACAAGAGACCCCUUUCGAACAAACCUGUUCUAACACGGAGGUCUUAUAUCUAUGGAUGAAGCUGGGCCAUGUCCGCCUAAUUAUCUUUCCCUGCAUUCCUCUUUGUCUUCAAAACCUAGCCCCUCUUAACUCAUCCCAACAACAGAGAGGAGAGCAGUUAGAGCCCAAGCGAGAUGACCAUUGAACCAGGGGAUUGGAUAUCGGUCAACACGGCCCCGCUCUGGAGCGUCAUGCACAGUGCUACUUUCAAUUUCCUCUUUUUUAUAUUAGUAAAUUAUAAAGCCGUAAUUGAUUUAUUUUCUUAUCAGUUUCAUGCACAUUAUAACUUUAUGUCAACGACAGCUUGUUGCAAGCAUCUGCACUCCGUUUGCUGAAUCAAUAAAGCCAAAUGUUUCUCAAAAAUUAAAAUUGAUGGUCUGCUUCGAAGUGUAUGAGGCAGUCCUAUCAAUGCUCCACCAUGUACCUUAUCUAAAACAUGGAAACUAAGAAAAUAUCUGACAUGGUAUCCAAUUAUACGACGAAACAGAAAUAAUUUGUAUCUUAAUUUAGAUACCACUAUUAGCAUCGCAUCCUAGAAAAUUCAUAAUUUCUGUUUCCCAAAAGAGAUAGCUUGUUUAGAUGCAUAACUAUGAUACAAAAGAUUGUAAAAGUUGUAUCUAAUCAUAUAUAUAAUGUAUAUGAUACAACUCAAGAUUGGUGCAUUGGAAGUGCACUUUGAUGAGCAUUCUGUAAUAGUGUAGACUCUACCUUCGACCUUGAUCCGUUACACGCAAUUUGCGCUUUGUUGUUUCUGUAUGUAGUUUCAGUAAUAUUUUUAUAUGCUACUACAUUAAUUGUCAAAUGUUGUCCUAUCAAAAAAAUGGUGUAGAUCGAUCUAUAUUUCUUCCUGACUAAUUUAUACCUUACAAUUGUUUUUUGUUUCUGUAUAGCCAAAACUAAUUUGGACCAUACGUUCACUACUCCAGAAAACCCCUCCAGAGGCGGUCAAAAAAUGGGGUUGGUAGCGGUGAUCACGCCCGUCACCAACUCUGCGUCACUGGAGAUUUCGGCACCGGUGGCAGGUAAAAUACCCGUCACUGCCGUUCCGAGAUCAACAAUGGCGGGUAAAAUACCCGCCACCGAAUACCCACAAACCGCCACUGUAAAUCCCUCCGGCACCACCCGAAAAGUGCGUGGAGUACAUCAGUGGUGGGCAAAGUACCCGCCACUGGACAAUUUCCAAUGGCGGUCCUGCCUAACCGCCACUACUAUGUGUUCAGUGGCGGUGGUUCUUAACCGCCACUGGUACUAUUUUUUCCCGAAAAAAAAUAAAUGAGUUAUUUAUCUAGGUACAUAAACAGCCACAUGUGAGCCUCAUUUCUACACCAUAGCUUGGCAAGAAGUCCGAUCCCGAUCUUUUGUUUCAUACAUAUAUAUAUCAUGAAGUACAAUGCCAAGAACGCACAUAAUCGUGUAUGAUAUAUAAAUCGAUGUCUGGCAUGUGUAAGGAGGGCUUUAAGCGGAAAUUUGAGGAGGGGCAAGAAUGGCAUGUGAUCCAGAGUUCCAAACCUGUCUCGUUGAUGUUUUUGAUGGGAAUAGAAGGAACCCGGAAUCAAAGCUCAACAAACCGGUUUUGGUCCAAAGCUGUUAGAAUAAUUAAUUUCUUAUCUGGACUCAAAGCUGGCGGCUCGAAGACACCAAACAGCCAACUCGCUUUCACUCUCACCAGUUUUAAAAAUAAAACGCCGAAUCUUAUUUGUGACCGUGCACUCGCUUGUCACACGUGGUGCGCACCGUGAGCUCCGUCCGAUCAAAUCGUGGGGUUGUUUCUCUCCCUGAGCAUUUACUCUUUCAAAUUUUAGUCCGUUCUGAUUUUUCCUUCCGUCCCUCUCUCUCACCUCCUUAUCUCUUCUGUUCUGGAUUUUCUCCUCCAUGGACCUCUCUUGCCUGAUGUGCCCUUGCCGCCGCCGGCUGGCCCCCGCCUCCAUCCCGUGAAGGCCUCCGCCGCCAACUCCCUCCUCCUCAUGAGCCGCCGCCGCCACCUUCCUCCUCCGCGUGAGCCGCCGCUACCUCCGCGAACCAAGGCCGCACCCUCCUCCGUGAGAGCCACGGCCGCCUCCCGCCGCGAACCGAGGCCGCCUCGCUCCUCUGGGUGAGCCGCGGCCGCCUCCCUUCGUGAACCUAGGCCGCCGCUCUCCUCCGCGAGAUCCACCAUCGUCGUCGACCCUGCGACAGCGGUGACGAGCUGCUGCAUCUCUGCAAGGUGGCCAGGCCCCCACGACGGUUCUCGUCCUGUGCCCGGCGCUCCGGGUGCUCGUCUUGAGUGCCAGCUCGCUCUCUGGCGAGUCCGUCCCUGCGAGCUCCGGCACUGACGAGUCUUUCUUCCUGACGAUCGAGGUGCUGGACGUCUCCCCCCAACGGCCCAACGGGUUCAUCGGCUGGCACCCUUCGUUCCCGAGCCAAGCCAGACGCUGCUUGAUGCCUCCAGAAGCAUCGACGCCGCGCUCUGGUCCUCUACCCGUAGUGACAACUUUGAGUUAAGAAUGUCUUCCAUGAAGAGAUCGUCUUAUUUUCUCGGAUGUAAAUUCCAGGUUAAGAGUUACUUUUAGGUUUCACUGGAUGUAGUUUCAACAUAUGCCAAUUACUUAUAUGAGUUCUCUAGAUGUAGUUUUUAUCUUAAGAGUUCUUUCAUGAGUUCACUGGAUGUUGUUUUAAUCUUAAGAGUUACUUUCAUGAUUUUUUAGAUGUAGUUAUGUAAGUACCAAUGAAAUGGGAUCUAACUGGGGUUGCUAUAUAUGGAGCAGCUUGGUCAUAAGGUCUGAAUUGUUUCUUUUGUUUUGGAUAUGAGCUACUAUUUUUGUUGGAUCUGAAAUGGCAUGCUUAAGUUACUUGGUUGUAACUCCACUUACAAGUAUGAUUUGUACUUGUGACAAAAUUUUAAGCCAAUUGAUUUAGUUACUUCCUUACACAUAGUUACUUUCAGCUGCUAGAUCUAGAUGUAAUUAUGUGCUUGUCGGGAACUAACUACUCCUUUAGUCGUCUUGUCCAAUAGAAGUUACUUUUGCAAGCACAAUUGUGAAUAACUCUGCAUCUACUAGAGAGUUAGUGCAAUGGUCUUAGAUGAAAAUUAUACUUUGCCAAGUGGUUAGGUUUAGCAAAUGGGUUUGGUCAUCACUAUUGGAUGUAAAUUUGUAUUGCACUAGAUGUAACUAUAAAUUAUAUUAGCGUUAUGAGGACUAUAUUAUCACAGGAUGUAAGAAACUAACUUAAGUAUUUCCAAUAGUUUUAGAUUUAACUAUGAAUUAUGAUGAUGCUGAAAGGUAUUAUCAGUACUUCAGCACCAAGUAUAUAUUGCAUGCUCAAACACCAUCAACAUUUUUCGAGAAAUGACAAAGCAACCGUCAAAUCCAUGGUGCUGCCCUUCUCAUCCUAAACGAACUUCUUCCUGGUCCUAUAAAGCAUGGAUCUGUCUGCUGUCAGAUCUCAUCUCUCCCAUAUUAUGUGAGGUGAGAUGCAAUGUUAAAAGGUACUAGGUGUAACUAGGUUCUCUAUUUAUGCUGCUGUGAACUAUAUUAGGUUGUUGUGUAUGAAUUUUCCCUUGUUCCUGAAGUUUUUUAAUGCUAUUGCUACAUUUUUGGUUCAGCUCAAGCUUGGGUCAUGUCUGUAUCUAGAUGUCAAUGUGAAGUGGGUUGAUCAAGUUUUGGAGGACGUUGAUAUGUUACUCCAACGAUGUAGUUUUCCUUUACCACAAAGCAAGUUUCUAGGUAGUAUGCAUUCGGUCAUGUCAUUCAUUAAAGCUAAAGCUAUUCAUAGGUUAUUUUUGUGUACAGAAUUUCUAUAGGCUUCAGCUUGUGGUUCCUAAUUAGGUAUGAUGAUACACGUAGCAUGUACCAUUGUUCUCCUUGCAAAGUAAUUCUCUGCCAUAGUUGUGAGUUUUUUUAGUACAUUGUUCAAUAAUUUCCACUGGAUAGGAGUAACCUUCAUCUUGUAUACCCUCAGUUUGCACAAAAAAUAGUUAAGGUAGAACCAAUCUGACCGAAACUCAGAUACAUGUCUGUACAUGACAAAACAAAUUUCAUCCAUCUUAGGCACUUUACCUUGAAGUUAGACAACAAGUUUCUUCCCUACUAGUGUUGCUUUCGAAUGGUUGCAAUUUUUUCCCAAUAUUCUACAUCCUGCCAGUUGCUGCUCUAAUUUUCUAUUGUUCUUAUUUUGUUAACAGGGUGGAUGGAAGGGGGUUUUGCAUCCAUUGAGGUUACUUCCAGACAGGACAGUUACUGCAAUGAAGAGAACAAAUUUCUGCUCUUCUUGGGUUUGUGGAAUGUGUGCCUCAUUGGUUAAAGAGUUGGCAGGACAAGCUUUUUCCCCUUCCAAGUGGAAGAUUUUUGUUUGUCUAUAUAGACCAGUGGAUGCAAUUAUGUUUUCAGUACUUUCUUGGAUUUACAGAAUUAUUUUGAAGCCAACAACAAAUUUUCUAACACACGUAUUGUUUAGUUCUCUUCUCAAUUUAAAUCUGAUGUAUACUGUAAAUAUCAUAUGAGUUAUACUCCAUAGUUGUUUUUCACAUUUUUUAUUACAAUGGUGUUGCUGCCGCAGGGUCACGUACAGGGAACGAGAUGGGAGAUGAAGGGUGACUGCGUGAGCUCUUUCACGCGGAGCCGCGGAGGGAACGGAAGAACGGACCGUGGCCUCCUCACGUCGACGUGUCAGAACGUGGAACAGAGAGCUUUCCUAUUUUGGACCGUCGGAUGUGAGUACCGCAUAAGACUAGGGAGUGCGCGCGCACUCCCUAGACGGUCCCAAAAUAAAAUUCUCUCAUCACUGCAAAAAGAGCGAGGGUGCGGGGCCGGGGGAGACUCCGCUCCGUUCCUCUCGGCAGCGGCAACAUCAGCCAGCGGGAGAUCGUCGCCGCCAUUCUUCGGGUGCUGCUCCAACCGAAUCGAGCUAGCUGCUCUAGCUCCUGCUACUCCAUGUGUCAUCCUGGUCUGGUCUGCCUGGUAGGGAUCCCCAACCCCAGCUAGAUCAAUGUUCUUGUUCGUUGUAACCAUUGCCGAGUUAUGCCCGCGAUACAGUGCAAUUUUUUUCCUAAAACAACCCUGGUCAGGUACUGCACAAGUUUGAAACCUUCUAGAGCUAGCUUAGGCGACUUGCUCUGCAGUUGCCAAAGGAACUAGCAGGCUGUAAUGAAGCUAAACUCUGAAUUUAGUUUUCUGCACAUGAAUUGCACCAGUCCGACUCACAGCGUAUGUAGCUUAGACACAAUAAUAAUCAAUACACUCAGCGAAGUUUUGUCAAGUGGAGCAUGAAUAGACCGUGCAUGUACACUUCGGCCAUGAUACUGUCCAGUGAUUACUUGAUUGCUUUUGCAGGUAUUACGGGAACAUUUAGCAAAUGUAAUGAUCACUCGCACUCGAUAAGACCAUGCAAGUCCGCCACCCGCAUUUACAACUAGAUAUUGAUUCCCACAUGCCUCCUUUUUCCAAUAUAUGUUGCCACAUGAACAACCCAGCUAGAUAAUGUGUUUUCUCCGCCCACAAGUUGGCAACGUACCAUUUCUGGGAAAAGAAAUAAUCAUUGCAGUCCACUCUUGUUAAUGGAGUUAUAUAGAAAUGAAUGACCUGAAUUUUGGCAUCUGACUAUACCACAUGAUCCACAUAUGCCUGCCCACCUAAGAGAGUACUGGGCUUGCAUAUAUAUAGUACUCCCUAUUUUGGGGUAGUAAUGCAUGUAUAUCAUUAACCUGCCGCAAGCACAAAACUUUGGUAAAACUUUCUUAGGGCUGGCAUGCUAACUUGCUGCAAAUCUAGGUACAUAAAUAGUCACAUGUCUAGUAUAAAUCAGUGUCUGGAUGUAAGAGCUUUAAGCAGAAAUUGAGGAGAGAGGGCAGUACUCCGUAGAAUGGCAUGUGAUAUCCAGAGUUCAAAACCUGUCUCGUGUUGAUGUUUUUUUAUGGAAAUAGGAGGAAUCCGGAAUCAAAGUCCAAACCUGUUUGAACAAUUAGUUUCUUAUCCAGAAUCAAAGCUAGCGGCUCCAAGACGCCAUAUGAGUUUCCAUCCGAGGGCAAAUGGCCAGAGGUGUGGGGAGAACCAGCUUGCCAUUAGGCGCUCGCCACAAAUGACAUUGGCUAGGCGUCCACGACAUACCUGACGUGUACACACUCCAACUACAACAACAGGCCUGUCCUGUACUUGAUCCUAGAGACCUUGGGCUUGGUGGAGAGUUGUACGGUCGAGUUCUCCGACGACGGUCAGCAUUUGAAGCAACCGUUCAUAAGAUCCGUCAGCUAUAUACAGAAGCACGUGACCAAAGGAGACGUGGGACACGAAAUACUUACGAAAAUACAGGGGUUUUUCUUUGAGAGAUUUUUUUUUCUUGCACACAAUACUGAGUAUUAAGAAAAAUUGAGAGACAAAAAAAAUACUAAAGUGAGGUCUAAAAGAAGGACGUGAAGCGGUUUGUUGGGCUCUUUAACCUUUAGGGACAAACUAGGAAAGACACAAGUGAAAUCAAAAACGAAGAAUGUGAAGUGGUUUGUUGGGCCCAUUAGGGGACAACUGAGAAGGCCCAACCAACAGUCCAACUCAUUUUCACUCUCACCGCAAAAGAGAGCAAGGUUUACAUAGACUCCGUCGCGUUCCUCUUGCCGGCGGCAGCAUCAGCCAGCGGGAAAUCACCGCUGGCAUUCUUCGGGUCUAUGGGAUCGCCACUCCAACCGAAUCGAGGUAGCGCUCUAGUUCCAUCCACACACCUCAUAUUAGCCUUUGAUGGAACUCUUGCGAGUAUUUUUCUGUAGUGUGAUUUAGUCUGUUCUGUCUUUGCUCGGAAAUCUGUACACGAGACUCAGAUUUCCAUUGUUUCCAUUAAGGUUGGUGCCAUUGGAAAUGAUAUUUUUUGAGGGAAGAUUGGAAAUGAUAUUCAAGCACAAGCUUGGGGAAUUAAUGUAUGCAAGACCCAGAUUCCAACCAUUCCGUGCAAGAUUGUGUUUUAUUUGCCCACAAAGCUUCAUCAUCGAGCAUUUUGUGUUCAGCUGAAAAGAAUUAUUGCACAUGCUUUUUGCUUCCCUUGCAUGGGAUUACUUGUUGUACCUUUGAUACACUAGUAAUCAAUACACUUGGUGAAUUUUAAUGGGCGUGACUAUAUCUCAGUCCACUGUUUCUUAAUCAAAAGGAUUAAAUUUCAGUCGAUCGUGUCAUAACCAUUGGAUUAAUAUAUGGAUACCAUUUUACUCUCCGUUUUCAAUUUUUAGUCUCGAAUCUUAAAACACAGACCAUAUCUAAUGGCUGAUAAAUCGACUUAUCUCUAACUAAAAAUUAGUCGACUUAGAUAUAGCAAAACCGAAUUUUAAUUUGCCGAGGGAAACAUGCAUAGACUGUACAUGUACACUUCAGCCAUGAUAUUAUCCGUUGAUUACUUCAUUGUCUUCUGCAGGUGCUAUGAUAACAGUUGGCGAAUGUAAUAAUCACUCGCACUCAUUGAGACAAUGCCCAUUUACAACUAGAUGUUGAAUCCCACAUGCCUCCUUUUCCCAGUAUAUGUUGCCACAUGAACAUCCUAGCUAGAUAGUGUGUGUUUCUUAUUUCUCCAUAUCAAUUACUAUGUGGUUGUAUCGCUUCAUUUCCAGAAAAAGAAAAUAUAAACAUCGCACUCUACUCUUGUUGUUAAUGGAGUUAUAUAGAAACGAACCACUGGAAUUUUGGCAUCUGCCUACGAUAUGAUCCACAUAUGCCUGCCCAUCUACCAGAGUACCUCUUUUUGUGUCAUAAAUUAAUGUUUGCAUAUCAUUAACCAGCUGCCGCAAGUACAAACUUUGGACAAAAUUUUCUGGGGCCCGACAUGCUUAAUUGCUGCAUAUAUACCUAGAUACAUAAAUAGGCUUUGUGUCGGCCUGAUUUCUACACCAUACCUUGGCAAGAAGUCGAUCCCCAUUUUCUUGAUGCAUAUAUGUACGUAUAUACCAUGAUGUACAAUGCCAAGAACUUUGAUCAGGAGAUCGGGGGUAGUCAUCAAAAUGACAUGCGAUCCAACCCUUGUCUUGGUCGAUGUUUUGAUGGGAAUAGGAAGCAUCCGGAAUCAAAGCUGAAGUGCUGAACACAUUCAUUUCGGUCCAAAUCUGUUAGUGUAGCAGCUAGCUCCAAUGGAAGACCAGAAGCAUACAAAUUCCAGGACUUAUUUCCCCCCCGGGAAUCUGAGUACUCCCUUCAUCCAAGAACAAGAAUAGAAGCAUACAAAUUCUAGGACUCAACCUUACACCUAAGGUUCAAGCUGGGUGAUUUGACACGACAUAGUAUAGUAGCUUGAAGCCUUCGAUGACAGCAGCAAACAAGAUUAAGAUACUAGAGUUAUGUGUCUCGAUGCUUGACGAUGAUGGGUUGACAACUCCUUGCCCUUUCUUCAAGAAAAUGGACAAUAUCGUCCACAUCGAUGAAAAGUGGUUCUACAUGACCCGGGUAAACAAUAACUACUAUUUACUUCCCGAUGAACCUCGACCAUUGCGCACAGUGCAGAAUAAGAACAGCAUUGGGAAAGUUAUGUUUUUGACGACUGUGGCGAAGCCAAGAUUUGGUGAAGGUGGAGAGGUCACAUUCGAUGGAAAGAUAGGCACCUGGGUCUUUGUCCAAGAGACGCCAGCUAAAAAUAAUUCCAAACACAGAGAUAAGGGGACACUUGAACUGAAAUCAGUCAAUGUUAUGAUGUCAUGAGAGUGUACAUUUGCAAGAAGGUCAUUCCAGCGAUCCAGGAUCGGUGGCCAGAUGAGGGUGUAUGUCGCACCAGUGGCACCCGGGGUACCACCGCUGCGCGACGCGUGGGCCCCGUUCCCGAGUCCCCGGGAAGGUUUCACCCCGAGGAGCGUCUAUGAGCAGCCCGGCAAGCUACCAUCCCGGAAGGGGCUAGCGGGGCUUCAGGGAAUAUUUCCACCUGGGCGCCUCCCGGGAAGCUGCUUCCUGGGGGGGGGGGGGGGUGUUCCCGGGUGUGUUGGGCCCAGGCACUUCCCGAGGUCGACUUGCCGGGGCAGGGGGUUCCCGGGCGCAUGCCCCUGCCUCAGGCGCGGGGCCCAGUAGCCAGAUCAACAGCGCCACGAGGACGCGUGGCGGGCGUGGGAUGCACGGUCCCACCAGGGCAAGAAGCAAGGCGCACGGCUCAGUAAAUGAGCCGACCGACGGGUCGUUACCCGUCCGAUCAAAGAAACAGUAGCUGUCCAAUCCUACCCUAGAGGUUCUAGACCCCUAGCGGCGGAGGUGGCAUCCAUGCGCGCCACCAGCUCACCGGGAAGAGUUGUAUGCCUCCCCGCCCGACACUUGUAGCUCAUGCACCGUGGCACCUGUGGCAUCCCCUUGAGUAUAAAAGGAGAACCCUCGCCAACGGUCAAAGGGGCUGGGCAGAAGAUUGGUUGGCUCCAGUAGACUGUGGGGCUGAGUUCGACCAGCUUAUGGUUAACUUCCAGCACCAGCAAAGAGUAGUAAGGAGUACCUAGCCAGUGAGAGAAAACCCGGGAACUUGCCCGGCAACUUGUAAAAACCCGAUUCUAAACUAAUACCAGCCCAGACAAGCAGGACGUAGGGUUUUACACCUCUGGGUGGCCCGAAUCUGGGUAAAAACGUGCGUGUGUUUGUUCUUGAAUUAGCGCGCACCUCUAGCAUUGCAUCUCGCCGGUCCUGCAGGGCCCCUUCGGCCGUACCGGCGACCGCCAGGGCGAACCCCGACGCCCCUACCGAACCUAAAAGGGGGCCAUGGCUGCACGCCCCCGGUGUCGGAGCACCGUGCGACGACAGUGUUGGAAGAACAAUCCUCAUGCAACCAGAUAACGCUAAACCUCAUCUCCUCCCUACUGAUGAUGCUUUUCGACAGGUCGUGGACGAGACUGAUUUGGACAUUAAGUUGAUACAACAGCCUCCAAACAGUCCGGACAUGAAUGUCCUCGACCUGUGCUUCUUCAGGUCCCUACAGUCACUCACCGAUAGCAGAGCACCGGCAAGUAUCAAAGAACUAAUAGAGGGUGUGGAGGAAGAAUACAAUAAUGACGAUUUCCAGAAGCUCGCUCGAAGCUUCAUGACACUACUGCAAUACCGUAUGGUUGAGGCUAUGAAAGUGGAAGAAGGAAUAGGUUAUGACCCCCCGCACAAGCAUAAGGAGCGCGCAGAAGGGAAUUAGCUACCAUUUAUCACGGCAGAUUUACUAACAAAAACCAAAUCACUUAUAGAAGGAGAGGUUGAAAAAGAAAAUGUGAGGUUGAGAAAGGAGGAGAAUGAUAUUACCAUGUGUAUGAUAGUACUUGUGUACUAGACAAUUUUAGCGUAUCUCUACAUAAAUUAUAAUUUUACUGAAUUUUAUUUAAAAACAUAUUGCAACACUUGAUUUGUUUAUCAGCUCAAUAAGCCAUAAAUUUCCCAAGGAGAAGGUAAAACUAACCUGCAAACAUUUGCCCAUACUUCAUCAUCUAUAUGACUCGAAAAGAAUGUCAUUUCCUCCAUACAAGAGACCGUGAAACACAAUUUGCAGAUUAGGUUCUGAUUUCAAUCCCACUGCAGACAAACAAAUAAUCUAAAUUUGGCAGUAACAUUUUACUGAAACUGCAAUCUUUCUACUCCCAGAACAGGCCUAAUCUGUGGAACUAAUCUUUCUGAUUAUUCUAAUAUGGUCAUCCUACAUGAAUAAUUAUUCAUGAUCUGUGGAACCAAACAGUUAGUAUACAACUUACUCUGUUUAAGGACUAAACAAGAUAAUUGUAAACAUACAUUACUCUGUAUACAGUUUACUCUGUUUAAGGACUAAACAGAGUACAUGUACUAUAUAAAUUAUUUUAUCCUAGGUAACAGAGCACAAUUAUAUCCUUAGUGUAAACAGAGCAUUACUCUGUAUACAAGCUUACUCUGUUUAAGGACAAAACAGAACCAAACAGUUAGCAUACAUCACCAAACAGAGCACAAUUAAUCAACUAAAUUUUACUCCAGUAAAGUGAUGUCCAUAUUUCUAAAGCUCCAAGUUCUGGCCCUAAGUAACACAGAGUUUUGAUUUCAAUAAUAAGCCAAGUAAUCUUACUAAUUAUUGAUUAGGAGUAUACUGCAAGUUCAGGCCUAGUAAUCUUUCUGAUUAGGAGUAUGUAGAUCUAUGGAACAUUCAGGCUAAAAGAGAAUAGCAACAAACAGAGUAAGAUGCCCGAGUUUUAGUUACUCUAGGUUAUUUGCAAACAGAGUAAGUGGUCAGAGCAUCACCAAACAUAGCACAAUUAUUCAACUAAAUCACCAAACAGAGCACAAUUAGGAGUAGAACAGUCACUGGUUGCAAAUUUAAAAACUUACGGUUGAGCACCUGAACUUGAUUUAAAGAUGGAAAAAGAUGGAAAAACAACUGAAUGGUUGAGCACCUGAACUCAAUACCAGCUCCAACUGACAGAUGUGCAUUUCCUCUGAAUGUUUUGAUGGCAUCAGUGUUCCUCAGAACAAUAAUGAAGUCAGCUAACUCCCCUCCAGCGUGAAAGUUAAACCAGCUCCAACUGACAGAUGUACAUUUCCACCAAAAGUAUGAGAAUAAUUUCAUGUGUUAUCAGCGUCUUAAACAAGCUUCUUUGCUGAAAUUGACCAUAAUUUGCAGCAAAUUGGAGCAGAAAAAAGAUCCGUCGUGGUCGGGCUGGACGUCGUCAUCCUGGUCACCCUCGAAGCUUGCAGGAGAUGGGGAACGACGAGGAAGAGGGCCAGCCGGUCGCUGAGCUGCCUCAGCACGACCUACUGCUCAGUCUCCACCUGCCAUGGAGGACAAAGGUAGAAGCUUUGUCCACCUCGUCGCACCGCAGCACCACGUCACCAGCUCAUCGCCUCACUCGUCCCCAUGCCCACCAGAUUGAAUCCACCGGAGGUAGCCACCGAGCCACCUCGAUCAUCUGCUGCUGAACCGCCGGAGUACGCCGAGCCGCCCGAAUUGCCGGCACAUUUAGCAGCAGCGCGGCGCAGGCGCGAGCGAGGCGUGGUGGCCAUCCGAAUCAAGGGAGAGCAGUGCGGCGCAGGUGCGAGCGAGGCGUGGUGGCCGGCGUGGUGGCCGGCGCGGAGCGGCACGGCGACGGGCGAGGCGCGCGGAGCGGUACGGGGACGGGCGAGACGGGGGAGGAGAGGAUGCUUGUCGGAGAAAACGAGAGGUUUAUUUUCGCAAAAAUCACCCCGCAAGUCCUUUCUGGACGGAGGGAGCAGAAUAAUUACGCCGAAAGUCAAAAUAUUACACGUAUCUAAACACUUUUUACACAUAGAUACAUACGUAUUUGAACAUAUUUAAGAUAAGUAAUAGUAAUCGGAGGGAAUAGUUUCUUAUCCGGUAGCAAACCUGUCAGCUCCAGAACGGCAUAAGACUUUGUAGCAGAGCUGAUGGCCACUCCAAGAACAACAAAAGGUCCAUCUUCCUCCGUGUGAUCUUGUUCGGCGCGCUUCUCCGGCAACCGGUCAGCAUUCGAAGCGAUCUUCGUUGUUGUUCCUCCGGUGAUGCACGGUUUCCAUUCAGAAGACACGACGGGCUAGUGAUGCACGUGACCAUGCACCAAGGAGCCGUGCGACAUGAGUCCACUUAUGAAAAUACUCCGUAACAGAGUUUUAAGUCUUUGGACAAAAAAAAAUCUUGCAUGACAGCUCACACUGAACUACUCGUAUUAAAAAAAUUUGAGAGAAAGAACACUGGAGUGAGGUCAAAAAGAAGAAUGAAGAAUGUGCAGCUAAAAAAAGUGAAGUGACUUGUUGGGCCCUUUCGUGGACAAAUGAGGAGGACCAGCCAAACAGCCCAACUCACUCUCACUGAAAAAAGAGCGAGGUAUUCUCAAAAAAAAAAACCGAAAUCAGAGCGAGGUUUACCCUAGGAGGCUCCGCCGCAUUCUUUUGGCCGGCGGCAGCAUCAGCCAGCGGGAAAUGCCGCAGCGUUCUUCGGGUCUGUGGGCUGAGGUAGCUCCUCUAGUUCCACCCACACCCUUCUCCUGCCACUCCAAGCAUGAUCCUGCUCUGGUUUGGUUGAUGGGGAUCCCGGAGCCCUACUAGAUUGAUGUUGUUGUUCGGAAUAACUACUCCCUCCGUUCCAUAAUUCUUAUCGAAAUAUUGCAUGUAUGCAGACACUUUUUAGAAAUAGAUACAUUCAUUUCUGAACAAAUUUGAGACAAGAAUUAUGAAACGGAGGUAGUAUUUCCGUUAUGCCCCCGAUUUUAUUCCCAGGUGAACUCGUUGCUAGCCAUGUACUAGUUGUUGACCUCUGCAAAGGAUGAGGAUUAGCCUUUGGUGGAACUCUUGCGAGUACUUUUUUUUUAGUGUGAUUCAGUUUGUUUUGUCUUUACUCCGAAAUUUGUAUGCGAGAACCAGAUUUCCAUUGGUGCCAUUGGAAAUGAUAUCCACGCACUAGCUUGGUGAAUUCAUGCAUACCAGACCAAGAUUCCAACCAUUCGGUGCAAGAUUGUGUUUUCUUUGCCCACAACUAGUCGAUGUUCAUUACUUGAUUUUUUUUCUAGAAUACACCGAAGUGGGUGUAUCAUCGAUUUAUAGAAGGGAGCUGCGACAUAGCGAGUACAAAAUUAGGUUUUACAAAUUAGCCGGUGUCUCUCCACUGUAAAUCAAUUUACCGAAACCAACAUCACACUACAAGAAAUCUGGUGGUCCAUGACGUUUUCUUUAUGACGCACAAUUAUUUUGUCAUAGAUCUAUGACGAUUUUCGUCAAAACGUCAUGGGUUUGUCCAAAGCCGAAUUGCCAUGCAACCCUUUGACGAAAUUGAAAUAUCGUCAUGAGAAAAAACGUCAUGCAUGACUAAAACUAUACAUUUGCCUCUCUAUGACGUUAUUUGUGACAUGCUAGUUAGACAAAAAAAACUUGAUGAAAUUAUUUUUGUUUCAUAGUUCACGUUUUUAUUUUCGUUUUCCUAUUUGCAGUAAAUUGGCCGUGUUGGGCCGAUAUGGCUGAAAUUAUUUUAUUUUAUUUUAUUUGAGAGGAAUUAAUUUUCUUUUCUAGCACUGAGUACACGUUUUUUCUUUUUUCUAUUUGCAUUAAUUGGCCAUGCUGGGGUCGUUAUGGGCUAUGGUACCGGGCCGCUCUGCUGCUUAUGUGCGUUGGUCCGCUCCUGCUUUUCUUUUUCUUUUUCCUAUAAUUGGAAGGACACGUUGGUCCGCUCCUGCCUUUUUGUUUCUUUUUCCUAUAGCAGGACACGCAGGUACGAAGGAUCGAACUCCCGACUUCCCCUAUCCUCUUGAGGAUUAAAGGAGCAUACCGGCCGUUGGGCUAUAGAGGGAAAUAUGUGUUAUAUGUAUAGUUAACAUAAUUGUACCAUGCUGAGACAUAAAUUGUUAAGUACAUCUUACCUGUUCAGUGUGAAUGUUGUCAUCAGAAAAGUCAGAGGCUAUUAUCCAUACCAGAAUAUUUUCUUCAGGAAAGUUCACUGAACUUACGAGCAUAUACAUGGCAGCACACUGAAAUACUGUAAUCACGGGAUUGGUUUUGCUGCUGCCCCGGCUAACUAGCUAGUCACCUACAGAACUCACAACAUUCAGCAUCUAGUGUCCCAAGAACAGAGUACAGGGUAAGCUGAGGCACGUACACAACAUUCAACAUUUAGAAUAGGCUAGAUAAAUAAGAGAUAGGUACACAAUAUUCAACAUUCAUAUUGCAAUGUAUGGUGAGUAGGAGAGUACAGUAGGCAUUCAUAUAAUGAAGAGGCAGGUUUCUCUGUAUUUUAGAUUGGAACUUUCAUUAUCAGAAAUUUAACAGCCAGGUUUCUCUGUAUUACAAGUUGCAUUCAGAGUCACAUUACACAAGUCUCGGCUUGUUUCUUGCACAAUAAAGAAAAUCUUUACUUCUUGUCUCACCUGCACAAUUAAGAAGAUUGUUACACAAAGCAACUUGUGAACAUGGAAGAACUGCACAAUAUUUAUUGGCUUGUAGUCUGAAACUUGAAUGGAGGCUUUAUUAAUUCAGUUUGAGAAACAACUUGAUCCAUAACCCAUGGCAGGCAUAACUUGUUCUCUUUUAUAUAGAAAAGUCGGCUAUUUUGCUCACAAAGAGACAAAAUUCUCAACCAUCACAGGCAUGUACAGGUAUCACAUGUACUGGCUACUGUUCUCAGAAUAAAAAGAAAAUAUACACUUAAGACCUAGUCAAGUUGACUGUUAUUGUUCACAAUAUUUUAGUACAAAUAAAAUAACUAAAAGCUAAGCUUGCACGAAGUGCUAAGCUGAUCAUAAGCCUUUGUCGCACUCAAUAAAUACAUAAAGUACCAUCCAGUUCAAGUGCUAUCCCUGUUGUUUUUUAAACUGGUACUUAUUCAUAAAUAAUUUGAAGAUGUAGCUAAUAUGAAACUUGUAGAUGUUGUCGAUACCUUUCCAACAUUAUAUUGUUUGUCUAAUUCUGAUGAUUGGCCUGUAAUCUAGGUAGUCACCGCAUUUAUUUUUCGUUGUUUCUACUUAGGAGUUAGUUACUACAGCCUUAACCCCCCCCCCCCCCCCGCCCCUUCUUUAUUUGCAAAUUAUGCCCUGUGAAUGAUUAAUGUGGUCUGUGUUCUUUAUCUGCUUUGGUGAUAAUUUCAAGGAAUCUAUGGAAAAUAUCAUAACGAGAGAACCAAAAUCUGCUGCUGAGGUUGUUUCCAAAGUGCUGAAUGAGAGUACCAAGAAUAACAGAUUCUUGGGGCGUAUUGGUUUGCGGCCAAUCCCUUCGAGUAGAACAUCCAAGAGUAGCCUUAUGGAGAAGCAAGAAGCUGAAAGAGAUGGGAAUGAUGAGCUGCGUAGUAUGAUUGAAGAGUUGGAAAAAUCACAUGAAGAAGCUAAGGUGGCACAAGAAGAAGCUAGGAAAGCAAAGGAAGAAGCAGAUGCAGCAAGAGUAAAGAAUGAGGAAGAGAUGCAAGCAAUGAAGAAGAAACUCAAAGCAGAUGAACCCUACUUCGGCAAGUGUUGAGAAGGUUACAAACCCAGUAAAAACCUCUUUUGUUGAGAGUUUCAUUCAGUUCUGGUCUGGUCUCGUCAUGUGAUGAGAAGGUUACAAAUUAUUAGAUGCUAUGCUUAGAAGGGUACUUUGCAUAUUGUGGUCACUUUGGUGCUUAUGGCCCUUUGGGCUGAAUGUUAUGUCCUAUGGUCACUUUGAUGCUUAUGGUGUUAUGGGCUGAAUGUUUCGUGAUAUGGUCUUGUUUACAUACUUUGAUGUUGGCUAAUACUUUUGUGCAUUGUAAUUUCUCUUUUACAACAUUUGGCCCAAGAGCACAUGGGCUGUGUUGUAUUUUAAAACAACAAAAAGGCCUCUGCACAGCAGAAAAAAAAAGAAACAACCUAAAGAGCCUGGGGAUUAAAAAGAAAAUAGGCCUCAAGGAAAAAAUAACAGGCUCAAACUGAAGAAAUAAAUGGGACAAAAAAAUAACUGGGCUUUUGGACGGGGCCCAUGUUUUUGGCACGUCAGCAAAAAAUCCACAUCAUCAAAUAGUUCCACGUGGAAGCCAUGUCAGCAAAAUAUACAUGUGUCUGCCACAUCAACCCACCACGUGUCAUGCAUGCAAGCAUGCCUACCUGGCUGCCACGUAAGCGCUGGGCUCAUGCUUUAUGACGAAUUGUGACAAUUCCUCAUUAUGUUUGGUCUCAUAACUCAUGAUGAAUUGGGACAGUUUGUCAUAGAACUUUAUGACAUUACACGGGGAAAAACGUCAUGGAGAUGUCUAUGACGUGAGGUCCAUGACGUUAUUUUUCCAUCAUAGAUAACGUCACAGACCGCACUCUAUGACAUUUUUACCACUUCCUAUGACGAUCGGUGAAUGUCAUGGACCUCUAGAAAUGUUGUAGUGUCAACAAUUAGCUUAGCUUUGCUCGUCUCCAGAACGAUGCUUCUCGGUGGAUCUCACCCAGAAUGAGUUGCCACUUGGCAUUGCCAGCCCCAUAAAAAGCGACCUUGUUUCGAUGUUUCCAAAUGGUCCAGAACACCAAGGUCGAGCUUGUAGCAAAUGGCGUCCUCUCAUUGUCCUGAAUGCUCGGAGAGGACCACCACUGAGUCAGGGAACGGCAUCCAAUUGGUUCUGUCCCAGAUGGUCAAAACCUUGAAUCAGAUUGCACGAGCAACCACACAACCCACCAGGAGAUGAUCGAUCAUUUCAGGAGAUUGAUCACACAGAGGGCAAGCUGGCGGUUGCCGUUUGCAGGUGCCACAAAAACGGCCGGCGAAUGUAAUGAUCACUCGCACUCCGUGAAACCAUGUCCCAAGCCCGGCACCCAUAUUUACAACUAGAUGUUGAUUUCCCUAUGCCUCCUCUUCCCAAUAUAUGUCGUCGCUUGAACCUUGGUAGACAGGGUGUUCCUUUCUUCAUGUAGUUGUCUGAGUCUGGCCUCUAUUGUCAUUUGUCAAUGGAGUUUUAUUGAUUAACCGCUGGGGUUUUGGCAUGUGGCUAUGAAAUGAUCCACAUAUAUAUGACGCAGCUACGAGCUUGCAUAUAUAUAGCAGAACUCUGUAUAUAGUACUUCAAGUUGUACUAAAUCAAUGACACUGAAUCGGAGGGGUAGUACCUAUUUUUCAGCCAUAAGUUAGGUACUAUGAAAACAGUUGGUGAAUGUAAUAACUCGCACUCGUUGAGACAAUGCCCAUUUACAACUAGAUGUUGAAUCCCACGUGCUUCCUUUUUCCAGCAUAUGUUGCCACGUGAACAACCUAGCUAGAUAGUGUGUUCCUUUCUCCAUAUUAAUUAUUAUUUGGUUGUCUCGCUUCAUAUAGCAUUGAUAUCAAUAAAACGUUUCAUUUAAAAAAUAAAUAUAAACAUCGCACUCUACUCUUGUUGUUAAUGAGCUAUGUAGAAACGAACGACCGGAAUUUUGGCAUCUGACUACGAUAUGAUCCACAUAUGCCUGCCCACCUGCGAGAGUACUGGCAUCGAGCUUACACAUAUAUGGUACCUAUUUGGGGUCAUAAAUUAAUGCAUGUAUAUCAUUAACCUGCAGCAAGUACAAACUUUGGUUAAAAUUUUCCAGGGGCCGGCAUGCUUAAUUGCUGCAUAUCUAGGUACAUAAAUAGGCAUGUGUCGGCCUGAUUUCUACACCAUAGCUUGGCAAGAAGUCGAUCCACAUUUUCUUUCUUGAUGCAUAUGUAUAUACCAUGAUGUACAAUGCCAAGAAUUAACUUUGGGAGAUCAGGAGAGGGGGUAGUCAUCAGAAUAGCAUGUGAUGCAACCCCUUGUCAUGGUCGAUGUUUUGAUGGGAAUAGGAAGAAUCCGGAAUCAAAGAAGAACACAUCCAUUCAGGUCCGAAUCUGUUAGAAUACUUAGUUUCUUAUCCGGAAUCAAACUGGCAGCUCCAAGACGGCAGAAGACUUUCUAGCUGAGCUGAUGGCCACUCCAAGAACAACAAAAGGUCUCUCUUCAUGCACGGCGCGCUUCUCCGGCAACUAGUCAGCACUGUCUUUGGGAAGAUUAUUUUCAUGACAGCUAACACUGAGCUAUUAAAAAUAUUCAGAGAACAAAAAGAUUGGAGUGAGGUCAAAAAGAAGAAUGUGCACCUUUUUCAUUUUGAGGAAAAGAAGAAGAAUGUGCAGCUAAAAAAAUUUGUCACGUGACUUGUUGGGCUAUUACAUGGACAAAUGAGGAGGCUCAGACAAAUAGCCCAACUCACUCACUCUCACCACAAGACAGAGUGAGGUUUACCCUAGGAGGCUCUGCCGCGUUCCUCUCGCCGGCGGCAACAUCAGGCAGCAGGAAAUCGCCGCCGGCGUGCUUCGUUUUUGUGGGCUCGCUGAUAAGUGCUAUUUUUGCAGUGUUUUUAUUAUGUAGUUUGUAUCUUUUUGUCACAGAUCCGUGUUGCUUUGAGCUUAAAUACAUUGAAAACGGUACAAGUAUCUAAAAAAGAAUGAUUACAACUUGUUCUAAUUUAUUUUGCAGUUAAGUGCGAAAAAGCACAUAUUCAUCUCACAUUGGACGAGCUGCUGAUGCACCAAUAUACCGAAGGACCUGAUCAUCAUGGAAAGAAGAAGGCAAGGGCUGAAGUGAGGAGAAAAGGAUCAACUUGUGAAAAAGGAAGAAAAGGAGAAGAGCCUGGAUGUAAAACUUCCAAAGGGAUUAAAUCCCUAACUCCGGCCUGCUCUGGAUCCCCUUGAGCCUGGCAUUCCCUCUCCCUUCCCCUAACCUCCUGCUCCACCUCCGGCCGCCGCCGCGGCCAGGCCAGCGUGGCGGCGCGCCACCGAGCUAACUGCAGCCCCUUCCCGAGAUCCACUACUGCUCCUCCUCAAGACCGCCUCCGCCGGCAGCGGGCUGCACGAAUCGUCUCCAUCAACCUGCUGCUCCCCCACGCACCGAAGAAAUCAACAGCCAAGGAACCAUCAGCUUGUGUGACCACGACCACGACCUGCAAUGUCCUCCCCUUCUCCAACUUCUGCCUCAUCUCCUUUGGUUUAAUCUCUCUCUCUCUCUGUCUCUGUCUCUCUCUCUCUACCUGCUGUUUGUGUGUACGAGAGUUGAGAGCCUGCUGUUGAUCUUUGGAAUGUUGAGAGUUGAGACUUAAAAUAAUUCGUAUUGUGUUAAAAUUCUCACAUGGACUGGAGGAAAAAUUCACUCUAUCCCUUUCUUUCUCUCUGCUAAUCUUCUCUUGCAUGUGAACUGUGGUAUAGUUUAGUUGACCUAUGAGAACUUGUGGCAUUGAAUUUACUAUUUUGCUCUCUAUCCAAAUCUCUUAUAAAUUUCUUCUGCCCCUGUCUUGAUGUUUACUUGUGCUAGUGUUUUAAUUAUCUAAAGUAAAACGAAAAUCACAAAAAUAUUGCAGUCAUCCUGUACCUUGAAUCCCAUAAUUGUUUCUAUCCCUAUCUUGGAUCAUUGCUUGUGAUGUUUCGUGGUAGAUGAUCUUGUCUUGCUUUUGAGUGGGAAACCUUCUUUUUGUUUGUUUUAAAUUCCAAAAUCAUUUCCUGUGAUCUAGCUUUAACCGAGCAUCGUUGUCGCUGCCUAGUCCCUGUGGAGAACCUCGACAAAAACUACUAUAUUUGCUUCAAUCAAAUUGGCGCCGUUGCCGGGGACCAAAUAUUAGUAGGUUGAGGAGUAUAACAGGCUUGGCUAUUUUUAUUUUUAUUUUAUUUAGACUUCUUGUUUGUUUAAAUAGCAUGGCCGUGUGAUUUACUUUUCAGUACCUUACAUCAAUCUAGUUUAUCUUGCUCUAACCCUUAACAAGUUCUUGUCAGUGCUCGUGUGCAGAAGAACUUAAAUUCUAUUUUCAGGUAAUUGUUGUAUGCUGCAACACGAAGAAACAGAACUAUUACCCUUUGAUCCUGAAAUCGAGAGAACCUUCCGAGAAAGAAGAAGAGAAGUUGAGAAGCGCAAGAAGAACAAAAUCGGAGAUAAACCAUUGUUGCGUGAUCUUUGGAUUCCUAAGGAUCAGAGUGCUUCUACUGAUGUCCUUCAACCUGCAAUUCAAGCCAACUAUUUUGAGCUUAAGCCAGCACUUAUCACUAUGGUUCAGCAUAAUCAGUUCAGUGGGUCUGCUUUGGAAAGUCCUCAUUCCCAUAUAAGAAAUUUUUUGGAGUACUGCAAUACUCUUAAGUAUAAUGGCGUGCCACCUGAAGCCAUUCGGAUGCAGUUGUUCCCCUUUUCAUUGAGAGAUGGUGCCAAGAUGUGGUAUCAUGCUCUACCUGAGGACAAAUGGGAACAUUUAGUUCAGGCUUUCUAUGAGAGAUAUUCCCCCCCCCCCAACUAAGGCAACCGAGUUCAGGGAUAAGAUCACUCGUUUCAUUCAGUUUGAUGGAGAGAGCCUUCAUGAUGCUUGGCAAAGAUAUCAAGGUUUGAUCAGGAUGUGUCCUAAUCACGGGCAAGAACAGUGGUUGCUAUUGCAAACAUUCUAUAAAGGUUUAACACAACAAAAAGAGCUUUUGUUGACUCAGCGGCGGGAGGUGGAAUCAUGAAUAAAACAUUGGAAGAAGCCACGUCACUGAUUGAGAGCAUGGCAUCACACGAUUUCUCAUGGUCAAAUGAAAGAACGGUUCACCCAUCUCAAGCAGGAGUUCAUCAGUUGCGCACUCAAGAUGCCGUUGCAGCUCAAGUAGAUAUAUUUGCUAAGCAGUUAACUCAGAUGAUGCUAAAUAGUAACAACACAUCAAUGGUUUGAGUAGUUCAGACUACAUCUUGUCAGAUCUGUGGUGUUCCUGGACAUUCUCCAAAUGAAUGCACCUUCUAUUCCAGUGCUGAGUCAUCUAUCUCUGAAAUAAAUUAUGCACAGAAUCAAGGGCCUUUUUCACAAAGUUAUAAUCCAUCUUGGAAAAAUCAUCCUAACCUGUCAUACAAGAACAACAAUCAGUUUGCAUCUUCUCAGUCAUCUAAUCAGGGUUUUCGGCAGCAGCAAAAUCAGUUUCAGCAGCAGCAAAAUCAGUUUCAGCCAAACUACAAUAGCAACCAAAGCGUAUCCUCAUUUCCAUCCUCUUCUCAAGGAUUUGGAAAUCAACAGCAGCAACAUAAUUUUCAAGCCAGUCAGUCUUCAGACAUUAGUGAAAUGAUGAAAUUUCAGAAAGAAAUGUUCAAUGGAUUGCAAGAAACCAUGAAAUUGCAAUUGGAAAUUUUCAUGAAGACCAUGCAACAACUCACUGCAGGGUUGCCAAAGUCUCAAACUAAUCAAGCUGAGAACAAGUUGGCAGCUCAACCAGAAGCUAACCUAAAGCAGUGUGGAGCUAUAUAUUUCCACAAGUGAAGCAAUCACAACUAGCUAGGGGAGGAAAAAUAGUUGAACCUAUUCUGAAAAAUCCUCCACAUGUAUCUUAUAUUCCACCACACAUGAGAACUCUAAUGUCAGCUCAUGAGCAAGCAAAACAAAGUGAACCACCUGCACAAGUAGAGCUUGAAAAUGAUGGAGUUAUUCAAGAGCCAGCAAUAGUGGAAGCAUUAAAAAAAUCUGUGAGCUCUUCUUCCAAUCCAAAAGUUCCAUUUCCUGACAGAUUGGAGAAAUGCAAGGAUGAUAAGCAGUUUGCAAAGUUCUUGGACAUGAUGAGAGAUGUGCAGAUAACAAUUCCUAUUUUGGAUGCCGUGUUGCAUGUUCCAAUGUAUGCCAAAUUUUUCAAGGAACUUCUUACCAAGAAAAGAAGCUUAGAAGAACCUGAAAUUGUGACUUUAACGAAGGAAUGUAGCGCAAUUAUUCAUAAUAACUUGCCUACUAAACGUGAUGACCCAGGGAGUUUCAGUAUACCUUGUAUUGUUGGAAGCAAAAAGUUUACCGCACUAUGUGACUUGGGAUCUUCAGUGAGUGUCCUGCCAUUAUCAACUUUCCAAAUGUUUUCACUUGGGGAGCUCAAACAAACUUCAAUGACCCUUCAAUUAGCUGACCGAACUCUCAAAAAACCAGCAGGAAUACUAAUUGAUGUUCCGGUGGUUGUUGGAGAAUUUGCCUAUCCCGUUGACUUUGUAAUAUUGGAAAUGGAUGAUAAAAGUGAUGCAAUGAUACUUGGUAGGACAUUUUUGGCAACCGCCGGUGCUAUAAUUGAUGUCCCAGGAGCAAAACUCACCGUUAAAUUUGGGCAUGAAGAAAUAGAAUUUGAUAUGAGGCAUCCCACACACUUACCUCGCUUUCAAGAUCAGUGUCUCUCAAUUGAUAUGGUUGACCAUUGUGUUAAUGGGACUUAUGAAAGAUGCCAAGGUAGAAUCGAAAUUGAUGCUGACCUAUCUCUGUCACCAGCUGCACCUGUGAUUAGUGAAGUUUGUAGUUUUUCUCCAAAUGAAGACAAAGAAACUGAAAUUACAGAGUGUGAUUCUGAACUGGUGCCCAAUGUAGUUGAGGAACUGAAACCUUUGCCUUCGCAUUUGAGAUAUGCAUUUUUAGAGAAGGACAAGGUACAUCCAGUGAUAGUGAGUGCUUUUCUCAGCAAUAAAGAAGAAGAAGCUUUGCUUGUAGUUCUGAGAAAAUACUGAAAUGUAAUUGGAUACUCUAUUAAUGAUAUUAAGGGAAUAGAUGCAUCUGUUUGUUCUCACAGGAUAUUCCUAGAAGAUGAUAGUAGACCAUCAAGAGAAUCACAAAGGAGGCUAAAUCCAAAAUUACAGGAAGUUGUCAAAAAGGAAAUUCUUAAGCUUCUUGCAGCCGGGAUGAUUUAUCCCAUUUCAGAUAGUGAAUGGGUGAGCCCAAUACAUACAGUGCCAAAGAAAGGAGGGUUUACAGUGGUAGAAAAUGAAGAUUGAAAGGGCAUUUCUCUCCUAGUUAAUAUUGGUGGUGGUGACAACGUGUGUUGUGGACUAAUCGUGCGUUGAGUAUUUCAGAUUUGAUAUCAAAUGGUGCAAAACGAUUUGAUGCCCUCAAGUUGGAAAACGAAGAGUGGUGGAGUUUUAGCGGCU